CUAAAGUUGCUAAAAUAGCAGGAGUUGAAAUUUGGCCUUUGCCCGGUACUAAAUGGCUCCAUUUAGUACCGGGUAUGACUUCCAACCGGAACUAAAGUUGACAAAAUGGCGGGAGCUGAAAUAAUCCACCUCCAACAGUUUCCUUUCCCGCACACAAUGUCUUUUAUUUUAUUAUUUUUUCAGCAUAAUAAAUGGAGUAAACUUAGGGUUGACUAUAUAUACGCUAUAAAAUGUUGACUGUAAAACUUAGUGCUCAUUUGAUUUUAUUAUUUUUUAAAUUCAUCAUUUAUUAAGUCUUACAAACUAUGACAACAGACAUACAAACCAUCUCAUUCAGACAUGCAAAUUAUAAUUAAUAUCGAUUCCUAAAAACCUAUCGACAUAAUCUAAUGCAUAUAUAUGUGCACUAUCCUUAGCCUUGUAGGGCAUUUGGAACGUCUCUCCAAAUAUUCUCACCAAAAUCGUGAAGCCUUGUAGGGCAUGUGGAAUGUCUCUCCAAAUAUUCUCACCGAAGUCGUGGAUGAUAAUAAGGUAAUGUCAGCUUGCCAACUGCCACGUACUAGACCCAGGUUAGGUCUUGUGAAUGUCCAGCCAAUAUUCCCUAAUACCUGACAUAGGAUUUCUUUUAGACCUUUGUUGGUGUGCAUGAAGCUAUUAUAUUCAAAUGGCAACCAACAAAAAUGUUAGUAUACAUAUUGGCAAAUCAUUACAAAACAAAAUUAAAAAAUAAUGGCUAACUGUAAGUUACAUACACGAUACGCUGGUGAUAUCUAUUUAGGCAUUUGUGUGACGUCCAGCUCAUCGUAUUCGAACGCUUUAAUCUUGAAGUAACUGUAGUCCGGAAAUACGUGAUUUGUCUAACGUUCUAUUUAGAUCAGAGCCUGCCUCAUAGCACUACAUGCGGCAACAUGUGGCUGUUAUGCGGCAAUAGAAUUGAUAUGGAUAAUAAUUGUUUGACCAAGUUUUUGCUCUCACGUGCCUGUAGAAUUAAUGAACAGAUAAACCACAUAUUUCCUUCUGUUGUACUCGUUUGUUCAUGUAGCAUCAUAGGAGAGCUUGUUUAGUCAUAUUAGUUAUUACAUCUCCUAACCACUUGUUACAAAUUAUAAAAAAUCAUUAUUAUGAUGAAACGAGUAAUAAAAUCAGUAUUAUAAUACAAAGGGGACUCCUAUCUGUCAGCAAUCAGUAUUAGGUCGUUGCCGGCUGGCCUGCCUAUCUGUCAGCAAUCGCCGGGGACUCCUUGGAGAAGAUCAACAAGGAACGUAGCAUGCGUCCGCCCCACUCUCCCCAUUCAUGCUUCUGCAUGGUGUUUCGAUGUGUUUAGGUGUUGUUGUUCUUGUGCUGCAGGCAGGACCCUGUUCAUGUUCGAAACGAGAGGCUUGCAAACAAUGGAAGGCCAUGUCACUACCACUUUGCCUUCACUGCCUGCAAGGUGUUUGAUAAAAUAUCCAUUGCCUACAAUAUUUUACUCUCUGUUGUAUCUACUGCUUAACUGCUUGACUGAAAUUGUCAGUACGAUGCACUCUUUCAGCUUAUCAUGAUUAUAAUACAUAUGCAUUUAGAUCUAUGCAUAAAAAUAUUGUUAUGAUCAACUCUUUCAGCUUGUCAUAAUGUCAUAUGAGGAACUCUGAACUAUUGCUUUACUGGCUAUUGCUUGCUGCUUUUGCUUAUGAGUAAUUGUGAGGACCAUUAUUUUGCUAUCACUGACAUCAACUCUGAAUUUUCCAUUGUUGCCAAAUGACUAUGUUAAUGCAUUGUUGUUGAUUAGUCAUCUAUUUUGUAUUUUCCAGUAGUCCUUGCAACUUGCGUGGAUUGAAAGUCAAACCACAGCUGGCUGAUGAUGCUGUACUUCCAUUUCUACUAUAGGUAACUGAAUCUUCCGUUGCCCAUUCUUUCCAGUCAUGCUAUUUUUUUGGAGGAAAUAAGCAGAGUAUAUGUUGUUGCAUUUAAGUACCGCGGCUCAGUUUACAUGUGUGGAAGUCAAAUUUAAGGAUUUUUUUACCCAUCUGUUAUGAGAUAUGGGAUCAUGUUUGUACCUUUAUCUAACUUGCUGGAAAGAUUUCCAACAACUAUACUAUGUUUACUUGAUGAUGUUUAUGAUUCAAAAGAUAGGUUAUUCAGUCUGACUACUCUUCGAUUACCUGAUGCAUAGUUGUGCACAUAGCUUAUCUGCAUCUGUGCUUUCCUUUUGUUUGUAUUUUCAGUUGUCUCUGUUCACAUAGCUUCUCUGACUAUAACAAGACUACAUGAUGAAUAUUUGUGCUACUUAAUGCUAUUUGGAAUUCUAUUAUUAAUUGAAUCUAUUGUAAUGCUGCAGAAUGAGCAACCAGAUGGGGCUACAAGCUGCAGUGGUGGCCACUCAAGUUCCUGAACAAGGUGGUAUUGGUGGACCAUAUUAUUUGUGGCAUGGGAAGUAAAGGUAUUUGUCGAUCUGGUAGAUGUUUGGCUAUAUUGUAUUGUUGAUCUGGUAGAUGUGGCUAUAUUGUAUUAUCUCUACCAGAGGUGAAUUUGAAAAAUUCGAUUUUUGCUACGUUGGAUUUGGUUACAUAUGUGAACGUUUGGUUUUAGAAUUUUAAUAUGCUUUGCACAUUAUGGGCUUUUAAAUGGGAUAUAUACUUGUGGCUAUGUGUAUUAUAAUAGGCUUGGCUCAUACAAAACUGAUUAGGCCCGUACGAAAACCUGCCAUACAAUGGGCUCGGCCCAUACAAAUACCGAGCCUGGAAUGGGCUAAGAAUCGGGCUUCAGACAAUAAACAUAAAAAUAGGUUACGAAGAAAAUAAUCUUCCUUGCAUGGGCCAGUGUUCACUGGCCCAAAUUCGAUUCCUACUAAGAGGGCUUCAACGGCCCAAAUUUGGUUUCGUACUACGCGGGCCUUAUUGGGCUACAGGAACAUUUAUGACAUUUUCAAGGCUCGAUAAUGAAAAAAAAAUGAAUUGUCAUAAAUCAGUGACGACGCAAAGAUAAAAUUUAUGACGAAAAAACACAUUUUCGUCAUAGAACAUCUUUAAUUACAGGAUAUAGGUGACGAAUGAAUUGUCAUGUGAGCGUCACCAAUUAAGAAACAUGAUGAUAAACCUAGUUUUUGACAUAAAUGAAACAUUAUAGAAGGCCACGUGUGUUGUAGUGUCAUUUUAUAGGGUUACCUUUAAUACCGGCUGGUGGGUCGAGCCGGUACUAAAUAGUUGCAUGUUACUACCGGUUGGAAGAUACCAACUAGUACUUAAUAUGCAUGAACACCAUUUAGUACCAGCUCCACCCACCAGCUGUACUAAAUAGCUUCCUAGGGAAUCUAUUUGUUAGCCACACAGUCCAUGUACCGCCAUUUAGUACUGGUUGAGACUCCAAACUGGUACUAUAGGGGUUCCAGUGGUACUAUGCAUGACGACUGGUAUUAACGCCGCGCGUUAGUACCGGACGAAAAGCCGUCCGGUACUAACGCGUUUGGACGCGUUAGACGAAUGCUCAAUUUUCCAGUAGUGAAUCAAAGUAUGGUUAAGCCAUGCACAAACAUUAAUUGAUAAUAACAAAUUAACAUUUGAAAUAGAGUUCGUGAUAUAUAGGUGCUUGUUUGGUGCUUGAGCGGUGCCACAUAGGCUCUAGGUCCACUUGUCAUUUUCGAUAUGUGGUACCAUUUGCUACAUGUAUGCAUUUGAGGCAUAAGCAUUAGUAAGGAAGAAUAUGAAGAGCAUAAUGGAUGACGAAGGAAUGAUACAUGAUUACGGAGGUUGAAGACAAUGUGCCUAAGCUCAUAUUCAAGUGCUCAAGGUCAGUGAAAAAGAUGGGCUUUGAAUAGGCUUAGGUGUGCUUGAGAAGAUAUGGUACAUGUGCUGUCGAGAUACCCACGGUUGACGGUUCAACUGGUUCGGGAGGUAUAGUCUUAUCAUCAACAGCAUUUGAUAGGAACCAGGAAAGAUUCUGGUUUGGUGUUGGAAUCCAACUGUCCAGAUCUUUCAUAGGUAUGCCGGGGCUUUUGUUGUCAUUUAAGGUGAAAUGACUGCGGUGAGUUCUAAACCAAAUCGCCGUUGAACUGGUCAAGGGUUCUUGAGGGGAUUUGAUCAUUGAGCUUCCUAGGGAUGUUGUUCGCUAGCUUAGCUACUUGGAUUCAUGCAACAUACGCUAAAUGCACUCUAGUGCAUUCAUGGAUAAGGGUUGGUGGGAAGGGAAAUUUUCUUGGCAAACCCUAUGUUAGCUGAAGGUAAAGAAGGAAGCGUAUACCAUGCUCAAGAGGAACACAAGCAAGGACACCGAGUUAGUGUAUAUGGAUGGUGGUGAAGACCUUGCUCAUGCCUUUAUCAUUUUUCUUGAAAUAGGAUGAAUAUGAUGGAGCUUGGUGAGGGGAUCCCUUGCUCCAAUCCAUGGUGAGAAGAAGGGUGGAGGUACUUGGGGUGAAGUUCCAGUAUUUUUCAUGAUCAUGAAUAUUAAAAAUGUCAUUAUUUAUUUAUUGUGAAAUUAUUCAAUAUGCUUUGCUUGUUAAACCAAUCCUUAUCAAUGUGAUUUAUAGACGGUUUUGACAUAAAAUUAAACCAACGGGUAAAUUCAAAACCAACAUCACCGUUCUUCUUUUUUGCAUACUGGUUUUCUUUAGAACCAUCAAUCUUUUUUAUGAUUUUGAAGUCUUUAUGUUUGUUUUUAGAAUUUCCUAUACUUAGUGACCUUUUGUUCUGUUUUUCUCUUUCAUACAAAUUUUUAUUCAAAUUUGGUUUGAAGUCCAAAAUUAUUUUAUUCAUUUCAGAAAUUUGGUUCUCUCUUGUAAUCUUGGAAUCUAUGUAUUCAGUAACCAUGCCUAGUAGCAUGUUCAUUUGAGUAGUACAUAUAUACCUGUUUCAAUUUUUUCAUUGAUGAACUUUACAAUCUAACCAUUCUAGUAUAGAUCUGGUGAUAAUUAGAAACUUCUUUUCUUAUGAAAUCAAAACUUAUCAAUGUGAUAAGUUGUAGACAGUUUUUCUGCAUAUUCUGAUAGGUAAAUUCAAAACCAUUUCUUAAUGACUGUUCCGAUGGUGAUCUUUUGUUACCGUAGCUAGGAUUUUACCAAAAAUAAUAUGCCACGAUAAUAUCUUUAAAAGACGAAUUCCGGACAGCCAUUCGAGGCUUUCUCGGGCAGUGGAUGUGCCACGUCGCCUGCUUUAUCCGCGCCGUUAAUUAGCUAGUAUCAUUUAUCGGACGGUGGGAACAGGUCCGUCAGCUAGACAGCAAGGGUUAUCCGGACCUUUCCUAAAAGGUCUGGUCUAGAACGGCGACUGUUCUCUCACGAUAAAAAGCAAACUGCACUGACGCUUCUGUUCCCAACGUUGUUGUCAGUCCAAAUCAACUAAGGUCUUAGUUACCUUGAAUUUGGGUGUCUAAAAUUACUGUUGUAGCACUGUAGCACACUGUAGCGUUUCGUUUGUAUUUGUGAAUUAUUGUCCAAAUAUUGACUAAUUAGGCUCAAAAGAUUCGUCACGCAAAGUACAACAAAACUGUGCAAUUAGUUUUUGAUUUAGCUACAUUUAGUACUCCAUGCAUGUACCGCAAGUUUGAUGUGACGGGAAAUCUUCUUUUUGCAUAGGGCUAAAAUUGGGAGUUUGGAUGGAACUAAACAAGACCUAAACAGAGCCCCAUCCAAAUCCGAAAGCUAGAUACAAUCCCGCCAAAUACAUCCAAAUCCAAUUAACAUGAACACAGGAACAUCCAGGUAUAAAAAGACGCAGGCAAAUUAAUACCGUCAACGUCCGGCCCUAAAGGCUGGGUAAUUAAACGGAACCUUGCUUUAGUUAGAAAUUAAUCCCUUCACCCUAAUCUUUCUUUCCCUUAAUCUCUACUAAAAAAACUCAUCUCAAGUACCGUGCAUCAAACCUAAGAGAUCUGGAGGACCCUAGUAGACAAUAAUAUGUAGACAUUAUGUUGACGCAAAAACGGGUUACGCCAAAUACUCAAGCACUCGAGCGUGCAGUGGGCAGGUUCGCUCCUUGCGGUGCCUCUGCACAAACCAGUUUAGAUUGGUUUUGAGGCAAGUCAGACCGAGUUCGUCGCUAAACUUAGCAAUACCAACGAAUGCUCGCUCGAAAGGGACCAUGUUGAGGCAAGCGCGCCUAGAACACCCUCAAUCACCAUAGAGAUGAAGGAAGAACAUAGUACCGGUUGGAAGAGGUAGAGCAAAGAUUAAAAAAAAGUAAAAUGAUAAAAAGUAAUAGAUUGAUUUGGGUUUGAUCUCAAUUGGAUUAACUUCAAUCGGCCGUGGUCCUUUAUAUUUAUAGGGAUGGAAGGUCUUGCUCUAUUACAAGUCAAAAUCUCUUACAAAUCCCGUGUUAAAAUAUAAUUUAUAACUCGAUUUGCAUAAAAAUAGUCCGAUCACCUGGUAAACUAGUAUGACCAGUAUUUUCCGUGCAGAUCUUCUUAAAGUCAUAACUCCUGAUUUGCCGAGAUGUGUUAAUUUUGAUCGUAAACACAUUACAACAGCAGAAUUUACAUGUUAUGGUUGGCUGUCCUAAAAAAUUAUAUCCCUGCUACUUCUCCAUCCCCAACCCAUAGUCUCGUACCAUCCCCCUCUUCCUACCCAAAACGAAGAAAUCGGACUCCGGUGAGCCACGGCCGCGUCCUCCGCGGCCGAUCAGAGGCGACGGUGCCAGCAGCCUCUGUUCCGCGAAGAGGUAUACUCCGGUCGCCCCCUCUCCGUUAGCCACCGUCAGCGGGCCCGGAUGGCUACUAUCGUUGUCUCCCACAACAUGCAAGGACACGAUCUAGUAGGCCUGAGAUUCAAAUCAGGCCCAGUCUACAGCCCACGAACCUUCGAUGCACGAAUACUCGCACAAAUGCACAAAGAGUUUAAUUCGAGCCCUUCCCUUUACACAAAAGGUACCCAAAAUUUUCGAAAAAAAAUACCUAAAAAUACUACAUCAUUUUAGGGUGACAUCCAUAUAGCUCUUGUCCACCGUGAAAAUCAAACAAGCCAUGUUCAUGCAUAUAUACCUUUCAUCUAUUAUAAAAGAAUUUGAUUUUACAUAUAUACUAGUAAUGAGUGUUACCUUUUAAAAAAAUCAACCAAAGUAUAUAAACUAAACCUAGAUAUGUGCUAACUAUACGGUUUCACCCCAUCCAAGCUCCAUCUCAAAUAAUCUAAACCUUGGUUGAGUCAAAAUGACAACAUUACCAAGAAUGCAUUUAAAACGAUGGUAUAUGUAACCAAGAUUUCUCACAAAUUGUUUUAUCAAGAAAGAAGAUCAACAGAGAUUUAUCUGUCAUUGGCAAGAAAAUAUGCAUAGCUGGUAGCCUCAAUAGAAGGCGCGGCAACGCCGCACCCAUGUUUCUAGUUUUUAUAUGCAAUUCGGUACAAUCAAUAUGUAAAUGUUUGAGUCAUAUAUAAUUCGGUAAACAAUUUUAAAUGUUAACAAAAAUCUUAAAUUCAAAAGCUAAGCACAAAAGUUGCAUGCAUUAUAAUACAAAUAGUUCAAACAUAUUAAGUCUAAAAUAUGCAUAGUUGAAAGAUGAUUACCAAAUUACUUGUCUGGCCUACGCUUUCUGAAGACCAUACAGUGCCAUCUUCGUCCAUUUUGAAGAAAUGUAUCCCGCUCAAGAUACCCCGUCUUUUUUGCUGCAUGUUUCCAAAAAGAGAUGCAAUAACUCUAUUUCUCUUCAUAAUUCAACAAUUCUAUAAACAAAAAAUAGGCAUUCAUCAACAAGCAAGUCUAUAGUUUCAAGAAAAGUGACAAUUAUAUUUGUUUCAAGUAUAAGAAAAAAUAUAUUUAUUCCUACUCUAUGAAUCAUCUAGUCUUGCAGACUUGUACUCAAAUCACACAUCAUGAAUCAUGAUGAAAACAAAUAAGAGCCAGAGGGGUCUAGAGUGGGCAGCUGGUGGAUGUACCACGACGUCAGCAUGCACAUCAUCAAGCAAUCCGGGGGUUCGGGCCUUUGCAGGCUUGCAUCUUUGCAACAAACGGCAGAACCAGAAACAAACAAAUAAAUUGCAGCCUUGGCCUUGCAGCCUGAACGGCAGCUUGCAGUAGACGGACUGCACGUCUCUCUCGCCACGCGUGCGUACCCGCGCUUGCUGCGACAGUGAGGAUGCGGCACCGCAGCUGGGUGCUUGCCGUGGCCGCUGAGCAGCAAACCACGACGGCGGGCGCAGGGUGGACGGCCGAGCCACGCAGGCACGGGCGCGUAGCGAUUGCCGAUCGGGCGGGAUAUGUUCGUCGGCCGCAACUGAAAUAUCGCGAGAGGAGCAGAGUAGGGCGCGCAUGCCGCAUGCAGGCGAGGAGCAGGACUUCGGGCUUUUUUUUUUUUUUACAAAUGGGCUUUUUUUUACAGGUAUGCCGUAGCCCACCGGGCAUACCCUGUAGCUAUGCCAAUCCGUAUGGAACAAUGCCAUGCACAAACACUAUAUUUUUUAGCAGGAAAUCGGCGUCCAAAACUAGGAGUGAUUCUGAGGGGUAUCACACACUCUCAUUCAUAAUUGUGGUUUAAUUAGUUUGGUAAUGGCUCAUGCAUCCGGACGCGUUGGACACUUAUCACCAAAAAUAUCUGACGCGAGUCCCACAAACACCUUCUCUCCUCCCACCUUAUCCUUUCUCUCCCAUAGUCCUUCCUUAUCCUUUCGUCAGGAGAAAAAUCACCUGCACCACUCACUCUCUCCCUCUGCCGCGCAGUUCAUGUGGGCACGGGCGCGAGGAGAAGGUGGCAACGACGGGGUGGAGCGGCAGAGGCGGAGGUGGGGCAGAGGGCGGCGGGGGAGGGGUCGCACGGAGAGGAAGGCCGGCAGCUGGGCGGAGGCAGAGUGCGGGGCGGCGGCGCUGGUGGAGUGCGGGGCGAAGUGUGGGGGCCGACGAUCUUGGGGCGGAGGCGAGUGGCGGUGGUCGGCGGCGGCGGGCGGCUCGGGCAGAGGGGCGGGCAACGGGGCGGGAGUGCGGGAGGCUCGGGCGGAGGGGCUGGCGGCGGUGGCCGGCUCGUGCGGAGGGGCAUAGGGGUGGGUGCAACAAGACCUACAUUUACAUGUGGCGACGGCGGGGGGCCAGGGGCGAGCCGCGCCGGCCGCCGCCAUCCUCCUCCUCCUCCACUGUUUCCUAGCGUCGGAUCCCGCUGAAUGCUCCUCCUGCCAAGGGUUGCUGCAUGUUGCAAGCGUAUAUUUAAGUGUUUUAGAUGUUUUAGAAGAAUGUUGCAAGUGUUUCAUGUGGUGUUGCAAAGUAGAUCUAGAUGCUGCAUAUGCUUCACGCACAUGUUGCAAGUGUUUUAUCUGAAUGUUGCAUUUUUAAUGAGAAAUUUGAAUGUUCCAUGUAAUAGGAAACAGAUGUUGCGGCGGAUUUUUUCCUCAUUAUCAAUAGAACAUGUUUUUUGAUAUUGCAAACGGUAAUUUUUUAUGUUGCAAACGUUUAUUUUCUAUGUUGCAGAUGUUACUUUUUAAUGUUACGAUGGACCAACGGAGCGUCCGAUGGGAAGUUUUUCCAUCAGAUGUUCGGGCGCUAGCAACGUCCUAAUUAGUUUCCAGCUAUGAAUAAGAGUCAUGAACUGGGACAGACGGCCUGUAUAUACUAAUAUAAUAUCAGCAUAUUCUCACAUUUUGUAUAUUUAGUUUAAAGGUAAUAAAUGAUGCUAUUCUUUUAAUGAUAGCGACAAGUAGUACGGUGAUCUUAUUAAUCUUAAGAGUUACUGUAGUCUAGUCUUUCGGGGUGUUUAUAAGGGCGCACGAACAAAUAUGUCUAUAAAAAUGGUUUGCAUGCGGUGAGGAAGGUACGCGGCGCCGCUCACUACUAGGCAUGCUUUUUUAGUUGGCACUAAUUAAUUACCUGGAGUAUAGUAGUAUAGUUUAUAGGAUGAAAGAGACAGCAAUUUUGAAUUUUUUUUGUCAACUAAUACAUAUUAAACUUGCGUCAACAUCUGUCUUUCUUCCAUCUCUCCUCGGAGAACCGAGGAGCGGAUGCGCGCGCUUCCGAGGAGAAACCGUAUCGACGCCCUAGUUUUCAAGCCCGACCACCAUCACGGGCUCGACCAGACGACCACGCCCGCAUACGUAGGAGUAUACCACACCCUGAACUGGACACGGUCCACGGGGUCUUUGAAGCGAACUGGACAACAGCUACCCAAUUCUAUUAUUUAUCGGUAGUAUAUACCACCUCUAUUUUAAAUUGUAUAGGUAGUCUUAAUUUUUUAAGUCAAACUCGUGUGUUUGGUAUGGAUUCAGAUUCUCACAGAAAUAUUUUGAAUUCAGAUUCUCUCGAGAAACGUUUCUCCGAUGAAUCAGAAUCACUAUGUAGAAUUGUUUGGCUAAAAAGCUUGGAUUCAUAUUCUUGAAAGGUUGAUAAGAAAUAUUAUUUUGUAUUAAAAAAUUAUAUAAAUGGAUAGAUUUACAAAAAAUAUUGAGAAUUUUUGUGGGUGAUGAACGAAUGCCAUCCAUUUUAAAUUAUUACACUUUAAGAGGACCAGUAUAAAUAUUUGUAGAUAAAAGAGUAGAUAAGAAAGGAAGAAUCAGAAUCACGAGAAACCACCUUCUUGCCAUUUCACUCGACAAGGCAGAAAGACAGAAUCGUUUCUCAGUGAUUCUCGUUGAAAUGUUUCUCAAUUGCAACGUUUGGCAGCAUUUCUCCAGUUUCUAGCAAGAAUCGGGCUGCCAAACGGAGCCUUAAUCAAUGUUUGUAGAAAAUAUAUUAAUAUAUACAACAUAUAUUUCUUGAUCUAGUGAAAUUAGUGAAAUUAGUUUGAUGUUAUAGAUCUUUGUGCAUCUUUUCCCUAUAAACUAGUUUAAAGUUUGAGUUAUGAUAAUUGCAAUUUCAAACAGAGAGAGUAGAAAAGAAUAUAUAUUCAUGUAGUGUAUUAAUAAAAUAUGUGUUAGGUAACUUCUCGUGUAACAUUUCCAACAGAGGGUUCGAGUUCUCGACUCAACAUAAUUCCUGCUAUUUUUCUAAAUUUAUUCUAGAAAAUAAUAGUACUAGUUUUGAGUGGUAGGCAACGUACACGUUCAUAACGAGGCACUACGGGAAAGCUAAAAAUUGCCGAGUGUAUUUUUUUGCCGAGUGUUUUUUUCGAGCACUCGGCAAACAAGCUUUUUGCCAAGUGUCAAGCCAAAAAUACUCGGCAAAGAAAAAACACUCGACAAACCACCCUCUUUGCCGAGUAUAAAAAAAAACACUCGGCAAAUAGGGGGCUUUGCCGAGUGUAAAAAAAGACAGUCGGCAAAGAGGGGGUUUGCCGAGUGUUUUUUUUGACACUCGGCAAAAAAAUAAUUUUUUUUCCUCUUUUCACCUUGAAAUUUUUUUUACUCCCCAAAUACAACAUGUGGUACUCCAUGUUAAAAUUUGGUAUAUUUUUAGAUUUAUUUGCUAUAUUUAUUUAAUUAAUUGUAUUUCAAGGAAAUUUUUGGUAUAAGUCAAAUUUGAACUGCAAGUGAUUCAAAUUAUGUAACAAAAUGAGUAGAAAAAUGAUAUUCAUGUUAUUUGGCCCAAUUUGAGACCUGACCCAUGAAAUAAAAAGAAAUUUCGAACACCUUGUUCAGGAAAUACGACCAUGAACGUGUGGGAGUAGUAUUUUUUAAUUGUAAAAAAACAAGCAAAGUCUGAAAAUCAUGAUAUUUGUCAUGAUGUGAUGAUAUAAUACGUGGAGGCUCUGAAAAAGAAUUGAGAAGGUUUUGCACAUUUCAUCAUAUACGAUGAUUACAAACCGAAGCAUCUCAAAAAAAGAAUAGUAACUUUGAGAAGGAUUCGAUAAGAUUUAGAGUCGAAGUGAUGGUCGAGUUUGGUUUGACUACAAAACUUUUUGUAUAGUCAAUAGAGAAUAUAUAUUGUUUCGUGUGAAAAUUUGGUAUUUUUUUGAAACUGUUAGAUAUUUUUUAUUUUUUUAAAAAAAAUUGCCGAGUGUCCUACGUUAGACACUUGGCAAAGAAACCCUUUACCGAGUGUCCACAUAGGACACUCGGCGACUUUUUUUACCAGCCUCACCUCCCCGGACCCUCAAAACACCCCCACCUCCUCUCCCCGUGCGCCUCCCCUCACGCCGCCCCGCCUCCUCCUCCUCUCCCGCUGGAUGCCGCCUCCCCCCCUCCUCCCCUCCCGCCGGACGCCCCCCCCCCCACCCGCGCCUCCCCUCACGCCGCCCCCCUCCUCCUUCCCUCACGCCGCCCUCCUCCUCCCCUCCCGCCGGACGCCGCCUCCCCUCUCCCCUUCUCCCCCUAGAUCUGGCUCUCCCCUUCUUCCCCGGCGGGGGCCAGAUCCAGGCGAGGAUGGGAGGGUGGCCCUCCCUCCCUCGGCGAACGGGCCAGAUUCGGGCGGCGGGGGCUAGAUCCGGUGAGGAUGGGAGGCGGCCCUCCCUCCCCCGGCCGGAUCCCCUCCCCUCGCGGCCGGAUCCGGUGGCGGCGGGUGGCCCCCUCCCCUUCAACUCAGCGACAGGUGGCAUGGCGGCGGGUGGCCCUCUCCCCUUCUCCUCGGCGGGUGGCGGUGGGUGGCCGGGCGCCCCCUCCCCUUCUCCCCGGCGACGCGCGGCCUGCCACCGUCGUCUCCAUCGUCCUCAUCGACAAGGUCGGCCGCCGGAAGCUCCUCCUCGAGGCGUGCGUGCAGAUGCUCGUCGCCCAGACGGCCGUCGGCGGGAUCAUGCUGGCGAAGGUGAAGGCGGACACGACCCGAGCUCCGGGUGGCCCGCCUCUCCCCGGCGGAUGUGGCGGCGUGGGGGGCGGCGGCCAUGGCGAGGCGGCGUGGCGGGCGGCGGCCGUGGCGAGGCGGCGUGGUGGCGGGUGGUAGUUGUGGCGGUGGUGGAGGCCGGUAGGCGGUGGCUGUGGCGAGGCGGCGGUGGUGGAGGCCGGUGGUGGUGGCUGGCAGUGGUGCCGGUGGUGGUGGCGGCUGGCAUUUUUGGUUUUUUUAUUUUUUUUGAAAAAUAUGUUUGCCGAGUGUUUUUUUGUCACUCGGCGAAAGUUUCGCCGAGUGCACGACAUAAAACACUCGGCAAAGUUAACUUUGCCGACUCAAAAUUUGUCGUGUGCCGUAUGCCGAGUGUUACACUCGGCAAACGUUUCGCUGAGUGUUUUUGGUCCUUCGCCGAGUGCCCCAGGCACUCGGCGAACUUUCUGUUUCCAGUAGUGAGCAUCUAUGAUAACAUUGUCGAUUCAAAAUUUGCCGGUUAAGUCGCUCGGAGACGCUCGUAGGGGUAGCAUUACGUGUGUCAAUUCAUAAAGAUAAGUGUUGUAUAUGAGUGUUUGUAUUUGUAUUAUGUUUCAACAGAAAAUUAAGUUAAUAUUUGGUAAGAAAAUUAAGUUAAUAUUUGGUGGUUCUUCGUAAUUAUAGAAUUAGCAGGUUAAAAAAUAUAUAAUUUCAUUUAGUUCUAUUUUGUUAUUUUUUAUUAGUAACUUGUACGAGCCCGUCAACUCAGCACGGGCUAAUAAUUUUCAGAGAUAUAUGCAUUAGAAUUUAUUUUGCAGAAUUAGGAUGCAUAGCUUUAUUUACCUUGCGCUCUCUCGUUUAUUAAAUAUUUUAACAUAAUGCUGAUAAGAUUAAUGAGACAAUCAAGCAUCACUUUUUUUUAUUGUCAUUGAAGCUAUUUGGUGAAUUGUUUAGAUCGCUACCGGCUUAAUCCCACCAAGAUCACUUAAUCAUAUGCUAGGGAAUUGGUUAACAAGAUCACUUAAUCAUAUGCUACGGAAUUGGUUACCAGGCACAGAAAACAAGGUAAAAAAAUUAAUCUUUGUGGAGAUCUGAUGCCUUAUGUGUGCUAUUUGGUGUCAUAGUAAUUAUAUAGUGAGGGACAUGGGUCUCCACGGGUCCCCACCGAUCAGGAUACCGACCAGUCUGACAAGUAGGUCCCGCUUGACCAUGGCGUACAGGGCAAGGCAUGAAGAUGCAUGGAGAUCAAGCUCGGAGGACGGGCAAACAGAUUCAGCCCGGAUAUCGCGGGAUAUAUGUUGUAGUCCGAUUCAGAUUGGUUUCCUGUGACAAUUGGCUAGAAUUAGAUUUUAUCCAACUUGUAACCCUAGAGAGUUGCCUACAUAAAGCGGCCGAUGGUAAUCCAACUUAACGCACCUCAACCUUUCGCAUCACAUACCAGCAAUACAAUCCACUAGAACACAGGGCGUAGGGUAUUACUCUCCGGAGGCCCGAACCUGUCUAAACCCAUCGUUUCUGUGUUACCAUUCGUAUUCUUGGUCUUGCGAUCUCCUCUGCCUACAAAUCUACCACCUAGGCACCCCUUGGUGGACUGAUGAUCACUAAAUCCGACAGUUGGCGCGCCAGGUAGGGGUGAUUGUGAGAUACUCCCAACGAGCUUGAUGGCAUCUUGCCCCGACGUCAUCUUCCCCGACAACAUGAAGCCCACCCACCCACGCCAUCGGAUCUAUUCGCGGGGUCAGCAUUUGCGUUCUACAGCAAACGAGAGCGCACGCCGCCGACCACGCAUGACCGUGGACUCCCGGCAAGAUCGCAGGAUCCUCUUAGCAACAUCUCCUCAGGAUGGAGAUAGUAGAUUGAUCUUGUUUUGUUUUGUGCAAGUUAAUCAGUGCUGAUCUUUUAUUUCUGAUCUAAACAUGCCGGCGUCAUGGGUCGUUGACGACGGCAGCUACUGCGGGAAAUCGGGUCACACGCCGACCUGAUUUGCACUUGCCUACACCAAACUGGCCGCCACCCAGGACUUCAUCUGCGUCGGCUUGAUGGGCACACGAAGGGUCCAAACACACUCGUCCAUCCCUGUUCCGCCGGCGUUGUCUCCAUGACUACCUGCAUGGCUGCCACAUGCGGCCAAGGAAAAUACAUCUUCUUCAAUUUCUAGUUCUUUUUCAAUCAAAUCGACUGGCCACUACAUAUUUUUACACGUCUAAUAAUUCCUAAAAGCUAACGUGCACUUACAUGCAUAGCGUGAUGGAGCCUUGCUCGAUUACCAACCAUCUGCAGGAAUAAGGCGAUACCCAUAUCUGUAGCCGUGCAUGGAUCGUGUGGUCGGCGGCAGCUAUGAACACUCCAUCGACUCGCCUUUGAGCUGCACGACUCGGCAGCAACGUCCCAUGGUCCCGACUACUGCGCCAUGCACCGCCGCUCCUGCAACCAGCACCGCCGACCACUUCUACCACCGAACCCGGUAUCAGCUUCGUCAACAACUGUUCACCGAUGGCGGUCCACUCGGGCACGGCGCUGACUCUCCAACUCGGCCACGAAUCACGCUACUUGCCUUUGAGCUGCACGACUCGACAGCAACGUCCCAUGGCCCUCACUACUGCGCCACGCACCGCCGCUCCCGCAACCAGCACCGCCGACCACUUCUACCACCGGAUCCAGCAUCAGCUUCGUCAACAACUGUUCACCGAUGGCGGUCCACUCGGGCACGGCGCUAACUCUCCAACUCGACCACGAAUCACGCUAAGUUAUAUAUUCAAUUAAAUAUUUAACAGCUUCCGUAUAUUCGUAUAUUUCCAUACAUCUCGACUUUUCUCCAUGUCUCCAUGACUUUCACCAACCACAUUGGUCGCGCCCCGACUGCUCAUACAGCUUGGUCCGUCCACUACACGUGUAGUAGGGGGUUGCGCCCUAUGAGUGGCCAGCGCACAUUCUCGCUUUUCCUCACAUUUCCAACUACUUUGCGGCUUGUCCGUCUCUCUCAACGGUUGCUAAAAUACUCGGGUAGCACAUAAUCCGUGAAGCCUCGCCCUCAUGUGUUGCUUCUGCUCGAGCCCACACCCAACAAUACUCCGGCAUGGUCAGGUGCUUAAACAUAACAUGCUAACUACUCGAGGAAAUUACAUGGCCUACAAGAGAGGAUGCGCAAGAAUUUACUUCUAUGCCGAAUAAAACUCUGAGUUAUUCAAUUAUUAAAUGCUCUACAUUAUGCUACAUAAUCUUUGUAUUGUCCUUUUAUAGCUCCGAAAACUACUCGGUGUGCCUCCCAUUGCCCAGCCAACCUUUCUAGCUCAAGAAGGAAGACGACUCAGCAUGCCUCCCAUUGCCCGGCCAACCUCCCAAGCUCAGGGGCUGGGUGCGGGAGGUGACUUGGCGUGCUUCUGUGGCUCGUCCGGCUCCUAGGCUUGGGGGCUGGAUGCCACAGACAACACGGCGUGUGUCCUUCCACCCAGCCGGGUUGGCUGUGGGAGGCAACUUAGCAUGCUUCCGUGACUUGUCCGGCUCGCAGGCUUGGUGCCACAAAUGACUCGACGUGCCUCCUGCCACCCGGUUGACCUUCCAGGCUGGGGGGCUAGGUGCGGGAGGCGACUUAUUAGCGUGCUUCCGCGGCUCAUCCGGCUCCCAGGCUCGAAGGCUGGGCGCCAUAGACAACUCGACGUGUCUCUUGCCACCCGGCCGACCUCCCAGGAUCAGGGGCUGGGUGCUGGAGGUGACUUGACGUGCUUUUGUGGCUUGGCCGGCUCCCAGGCUCGGGGGCUAGAUGCCACAGACGACUCGGCAAGCCUCCUGCUGCUCGACCGACCUAGGCAGAACGAGGAGGGGGGGACUCGGCGUGCCUCCGUGGCUCUACUAGUCCUCGUGCUUGGGGGCUGGACGCCUAAUUUUGGUCGGCGUGCUUUUGUGGUUUCGCUUGCCCUCACGCUCAGGGGUUGGGCGCCUAACUUUCGGUCAACGUGCCUACUGGGCUCUGCUAGUUCUCGCGCUCGGGGGCUGGAUGCCUUAUUUUGGUGACUAACAUACGCCUACCUUGUGAUUUACAAUAUUUCUAGAACCUUGGACCGAUUACUUUAAUCGCUUCAAGGCUCGAGGGCUGCUGCAUAUGGAGUGCGUCUUGCAACAUCCUCCAUGUGCUUCCCUUCGAUCUACAGGAUGCCUAACAUCCAAGAGCUCGACAGUCGCUCCAACAUGUGCACUUGGUCAUGCGCUUGCUCAAAACUUUUUUUUCUUCUUUUUUGAGCACCGCGCAGCCUCUCUAUCACAAAGACAAAACUGCAUCUUCAGCCGGGUACAUCGAAGGCCUUGUUGCGCAUCGGUCAGGCCACAUUACUCGGGGGCUUGAGGGAUAUAGGUACCCAUGGGUCCUCACCGACCAGGAUACUGACGACCUGAUAAGUAGACCCCGCCCGAUCAUGGUGUUGAAAAAGAUACUGAGAUAUCUCCAUUAACUAGUUAUUGAGGAAUAUUCAUCGGAAGACCACUCGAGGUGCUCUUACCUCAACCUGUUGGAUGAGGCGUCCCCAUCGACAUGUUCAUCUUCUGCAACUGCGUAUCAUACACCGGAGGAUUCGUGCCAUCUUGAAACAGAGGAAUCUGCCUUGUGAUUACUUUGAUGGCAAGGCCUGCAGCCCGUCUCCUUGUGCAUCGUGCUAGCAGCCAAGAAGCUCAAGAUCGGUGAAAGUUUAUCAACCAGAAAUGACCUCGGCGUUUGCUACAACAUGGACUAGGGUCGUGAGGAUGCAGGGCCGGUCCUGAGUUUUCGGGACCCAUGCGAAACUUAUGUUGGAGACCCCUUAAAACACAAAACAUCAAGUUUAUUUUAUAGCAGUUGGUGAUACUGUGCAGUUUGUGCUAUAUUUACAAGUCAAAACUAUAGCACACAUGCUGCUACAUCUAACCAGCUAUACUAGAGUUAAUUUUUAAAUCAACAUUAAAAAUUUGAUUUGGAUCUAAUUUGUGUACAAGAAAUAGGAAAAAAUGGAAGAAUAUACCAUAAGAAACUAAAUGCUAAUCUAAUUAGUUGUGGUCUAAUCUUUUUCCUUAGUCAUCGGUGGUGCAAGGAUGGACUGGCGGUGGAGAUGAAUUACUGAAUGGGUGAUUGGAUAAACUUGUACCAGUUGUUUGCUUGGUUUAAGUUGGGCACUUAGUAUACAUAAACUAUAUGUAGUAUACAAGUAUACUAGGCUUUAGGGGCCUGGGCGGUUGCCCCGGAUGGAUACACUACAGGGCCGGCUCUGGAGGAUGGUGUUUUUGCCAUCGAUUCCACGGAACAAAAAUCACUUCCGCCAAAGUUUACGCACUCUUGCUCAUCCUAAUCACUUAUUAAAUGCUCAAUCUAGUACAAUGACUUGUCAGGUAGCUGCAAAUUGAUCCAACAACUUUUAAAAUGCUCUAUGUAGUACAAUAACGUGGCUGCAGAUUGGUCCAACAACUUUUAAAAUCCCCUAUCUAGUAUAAUAACUUGACAUGUGGGUGCAGAUUGUUCAAAAAAUUUAUAAAAUGCUUAAAUUAGUGCAAUAAAUCGGUAAAUUGGUGCAUCCGUAGUCCCAAUGUUGUAACAAGCAACAUAUUUGUUAAUACCGAGUCAGAGUACAGUCGCAUAGAAACAAGUUAUUGAGCAUUAUUUGACCAUUGAUAUUCAUGUCGCAGAGGUUUGGUUAGGACUAGAACCUAUUUAGGAAAUUAAUGUUAUAUCUUCGUAUUUAUUAUUUUUAUAUAAUUAUUUAAUUAUAAUUAGGAAUAUUUAAUUUCAUAUUCAAUAUUGAUGACCUCACCCUCGCUGUUUUUACAUUUUGAUUAUAUGCAUUUUUGUUCAGUUAAAAAUCCAAUAUAUUAAUACUGCUAACAAUACCUUUUAGAAAUUUAGCAUAAAUAUAUUUUAAAGCCACAUGUAAUUGUUUAGAAAGUAAACUAGCAGAAAUAUGCAUGCUUCUCUGUGGUUGUUGAAUACAUAAGCAGAAGCGCAAAAAAAACCUAAGACCUUAGGAUCUUUCCUGUGGACUAUAAUCUUGAGUAAUGCCAACGGUGUAAUUCUAAAAAAAAUUCAAUUUUGAUUAAUGAACAAAUAAGUUAUGUACAUAAUUCAGAAGCAACAUGCAAUUCACGAUCUACGACUUUUAUCAAUAAAAAAUAAGAAUUAUUGAUUAGAAGAAAAUUGGCAUGCCCAUCUAGUUGUUUGUUAUGUUAUCAUUGUAACGUUUGGACUGUAGGUGCACCAAAUUGCUAAAUUAUUACACUAAAUUAAGCACAAAUUGCUAAAUUAUUACACUAAAUUAAGAAUUAUAUAAGUUGUUGAACCAAUCUGCACCUAUAUACUAAAUUGAGCAUCUCACUGGUGGUUAGACCAAUCUGUACCCACUACGAGUUAUUGGAUGUUGCAUAGUGAGUGCAAUUUAUUUAUUUUUAUUAACUGCAUUUACCUUUUGCAAUCUACCUCUGUGCUCGACUUUCCUAGAGUAGUUGCUAGGAUUUAGUGGAACUCCCUCAGGUUUCGAACUAGGUAGCAAGCUUGUUGAGCGACUGAGAACAUGAUAAAACAUAGAUCAUUUUUAGGAACUAAUAUAUAUUUAUCUUCGAGCCAAUUACUUUUUUGUCAAACAACCUUUUUGUUCAGUGCAGUCCAGAUACGAUUCCAAUGUUUUUCGUCUGAGAGGCAAUUUUAAGUGUCUUCAUUCCUCCCUUCGGAGCACAUAUGCAUGAUCCAUGUAGGAGCACCAUGUGAUCAGCCAGUCAAACAAACGUCGUUUUUGUACACAGUGCAGUCAAGAUACGAUGCCAAAGCUUUUCGUCUUGAGACAAUCAGUUCAACAAGGAUACCACCUACGUGUAAACCAACCAAGACAUGGCUGUAAAAAGGUCACAUGUUGGCUUUUCUAAUUAUUCAUUUCUAGCAAAUACGAACACCAGGUAGAUCUGGUAGGUACAGGCACAUGUGUAUACCGUCCUGUACAUGAGGCUGUUUACUUUUGCUCGCUGUAUCGCAUGAUCCCAUGGACAUCAACGAUGCCAGGGGGAAACACUGGAUCUGUCGCUGCUCUCACCGCAACCUUCGCCACGGAGGUAACACUCACUGGGGGUGUCAACAGUGGGCCGACAAGUGGUAAUCUGGCCAACGGCUUUGCGUUCUGGAGCACCUGCAGAGAUAGAUCACUUUCACAUUUAAUCAAGCCACAAUGUGAAGCAGUUCAUAACGAAAUAAAAUCAUGUAAAGUACUAUGCAAACAAUAAUUUGCAUUGAGCAUUACAAAAUAAUAACCACAGCGCUUUCUGCCAGUAAAUCAAGGAGCCUAGUUGGAUUGGACGAGGCGUUAAUACACAAGUUGUCAUUGAUAUAAUAGUUCGGAUAAAGCAAAACAAUAACCACAACAGAUGCCACCAAUUAUCUUUGUUGUAUAAGGCAUGAAAGUUGCAUUUUCUGUAUGGCAGUAAAUCAAUGAGACCAUGUGUGAACUGCUUUCGGAAACCUUGUCGCUAACUAAAUCCACCCUUGAUCAUUCGGGAGGAUGGAAUGAGAGAGAGAAAGGUUUGGGUCAAUGAUCUUGCUCAAUGAAGUAGGAUGCAAAACUUCAAUUUCAAAUGAAAUUCACUAAACAUUACAAAUUUGUGCUCUUAGGUUCAUUUCAGUGCACUAGAUGCAUUAGAUCAUCAUAUAGAUAGGGAAGAAGACCAACAGACGUUUAGGUUCAUCCAGUUUGUGGCACAAAAUCUGAUGGCCAUUCCAAUUCAUUGUUUGCCUAGUUGCCAGUUGGUCCAUUUGCUCUUUCUGUGGCAAACUAAAAUUAUCCUUGUAGUGACAGAAAACUAUCAAUGUGAGUUUCCACUUUUAUAACAAAUAAAUGCAAUACACGUCUCUUCUCGACUACUUUAUCGUACCAAAUGAUUAUCUCAUCAAGAAAGAUAACUAAAAUUGCAUGCACUUAUCAGGAACUACUCCAAAUAAAACCCUUCAUCCCCAUGAGGGUCAAGGACAGGUCCUAGAGACAUUUAGUUUGCUGUCCUAUCAAAAAAAGAAACACAUCUAGUUUAUUCAACCACCUUACACUGGUUGCAUUUGGCAUGCCGUGGCUUCUCAAAAACGUAAUUUAACUAUAAAAUAUUUUUGUUUUACUUGCAGGUUCAGUGCUAACUAGUUUUAAAAUAGCAUUUAGCUACUCUUGGCAGAUGGUCUUCACUUACUGUGCACAUUACUUAUUUCAAAUGAUAAAAGUUAUGAUUCAAAAGUGCAUUAUUGCCACUGCCGAUCCCUAAUUGAAGAUUUGACAUCCAAAUUUGCCACUGAAAGUAUUUCAAUUCAGUUUGAUUUGCCACUGGAUUAUACAUGAAUUACAAACCCAAAGCCCCUAUCACAACCGAUUUUAAGUGCAGACUUCCAACUAGUCUAUUUCCAAUAGCUGAAAACAAAAAUAUGCCAAUGCCAAAUAUGCAUACCACCCAAAAUAAUAGAGCUCCACUUGUUCUUUACAUGUAACUGAAGGAAGUGAGGAGAGAGACCUCACCAUUUGCAUAGGGGCACCAACAAGACCAAGAGGUAUCUUUACACUGCCCACUCGACGAGUUCCAUGAAUAAAACCAGGCCUCAGUAUCACUCCUAAAGAAAAAAAAACCAAAAAAGAAAUAUAAAACCAUCGUGCAAGUAUCAGACUCAGAGCAUGAUAAUUACAAAAUGAGAGAUACAAAAGAUCCUAAAGGAUUGCUUCAAUUUUUUGUGGUGUUGAAAUAUAGAUGCAGAUAAACACAAUUUUCACUAAUAAUUUUAAAUGAAACACAUCAUGCAAGUCAAAGUUGCAUUCAUAGUUCCAAGCCAAUUUUCUGGCUACUAAAUACAUCACUUGUCAGUAGACAUAACCAACUUGUACAGUUGUACUAGCAAACUCCUGGAAAGCAGAAUGUGUAGAGGUGUUAUGUUUGGAACACGAAGGCUUAUAAGCUGGGCCUCAACCCACCUAAACAUCCAAGGUGACACUAAACCACCACAACAACACAACUAGGCCACAUGGGCCAACAUCACCACUACUAACAAGCUGCUAACAAGCUGGUACAUUACAUUAAUCAAAUGAAAUAACUUACCUCCAUAGGUGAACUUUGACAGCAAUUCAGCUUCAGCAGCUCUCUGAACCAAAAAAAAAAAGUAUACAUAUAUAUAUAUAUCAAUUAUUGCCAACAAUACAGACUUACAGGGGAACACAAACUGCAAUGCAAUGGAUCAACAUGUCUUUCAGGCUUACUCCCUCAGCUUCCUGAAUCCUGAUACUAAGAACUUUUCACUAGCUCACUCAUAACAAGGAAAUUAGCUUUCGACGAAAGCAGACUUAAAUGGUGCCCUAACAAGAUGGUGUGGAGCACUGCAUAGGUUUGACAAUGCCAGGUGCCAACAAUUUGAAGAUGAAGUUAUUGGUCCAAUUAGUCAAGAAUUUAGAAACCAACAAAAAACAUAUGUAGCGCAAAUUUAUUGUUGUUCCAACUUAUAGUAGCAGAUGCUAUUUAUGCAAACUCUUUACACUUGAUUGUAAUUUCAGUAUUAUAAAUGCAGAUGGAGCAAGAGUUAAUUUCAAAUAUGCAUGGCAUGUCAAUAAUGUUGAGAAGUUACCUUGCCCUCGUAAUAACCCUGCAAUAAGUAAUUCACUAAACCGAAGUCUGCAGCCGACACAUAUACAAAUCUCUUUACACCUGCAGGUACAGAACAAGUAAAUUGACAAGCUAAAGAAGAUGCUUCUCAAAUAUAUCAAAUUUCAUUUGCCAUUUUUGUCUGCAAGAAUAGCAAACAAUGGAAUUUUAAGAACCUACUGGAAAAUUAAAUCAAAUUCAACAGUUGUAGACCAGCCUAAUGCGAAUAUAUUGACAGAAUCAUAUCUACAAGCAUAAUUAAUAGAUUGCACCCAAUACUUUUUAGAUACUGAUAAGUGUCAAAACCUGAAUGGAUUUCAGCUGCCUCAUUCGGCAGAGAAACUUUGGGCAUGCAAAAUGUUUCAGAUAUAGAGUUCCAUGUCAAAAUCCAACUCAAACAUGGCAUCCCAUGGACAUGAGACUUGUUAUCCAAAUAUAUGAGCACGAGUGUCAGAACCUGACUCCACAUGCUUUUGUCUUGGCAUGGAUGCCCAGGUAACACUAAAUGCAUUGAACCGUCAUGCAAACAAACAAAAAUGACAGGGAGGGAGGGAAACUUAAAAGUUUGAACUGCAUAUAACUAAUGUGUAGGUCCAGCUCAAUAGGCCCUCUAGCCUACAGUUGGCACAUGAGGCCCAGGUUGCAUUUUGUUUGUCACUUAUAGGGCGGCACAUUUUCACUUAACUCCGUUUCACAUUGUAUGACAACGAGAUUGCAGGAAGCACUAGCAAGAAACAGCUCUUGCUACCACUUAGCCUGCACCCUCUCCCUCUUUUCCUCUAUUUAUUUUUUGUUGGGUAAUUGUUUAGCGCUUGUUUUGCUCUCCCCGUUUGCUUUUGCUGAAAGUCAAUGGAGCAGGUGAACUCCCUGGCCAACUACCUGCCGUAUAUGGCAGCAGUGCCAUGAGUAGAGGGGCUGUAUGCCCUGUCAUGUAUAGUACUAGUAAUAGGAAGAAUAGUUGGUAGUUCUACUCAUUGUAGUAUGCACUCUUAGUUGACUUUUGGUGCUAUAUAGUAUGAAGAGCAGCUGCAGCUCCAGAGUCAGUUCAGCAGCAACAAGUUUGUGUGCGCGCGCUGUGCUCCACCUCAUCUUCAACCUCCAGACUAGUGUGUGUGUGUGUGAUCUGUGUGAGGGUGUGAGCUCAGGGAGCUUACCUGCCUGGGCCAACAUUUUUCUCCCUCAAAUCAAGUUUGUUUGCAAUAUCUAUUCUCUUGAAGCAUGUCUAGUGUUAUUAAACUAAUUCCACCAUACGACAUUUAUAACCUAUUCAACGUAUAUCUGUUUAUCUACCACAUCCAAUAUCUGUUUAUCUACCACAUCCUGUAUCUGCCUUUUCCUAUUUUUAAAAUUUUUUACCUCUUUCUUAGUUCUCUAUGGGUUGAUGACUACCCCACCUCACUUGCUUGGGAAAAAAGGCUUUGUUGUUGUAUCAAGUAGCUGUGGUUUGGGUCUUUGGGACUAGUCAGAUAAAGUUGAAUCAAGAAAGGCAAGCAUCCAUACCAAGCAGAACACUUCUAUCAACCAUUUAUUUGUAACUUAGCCCAUAGAGCCACCCUGUGGGUACGAAACACUCAACCUUGGCCAGAAGCAUCCCCCUGCCUUUGUCUUAAAGAGAGGGGAACACUGAACCCUUUAUGAAGGUACUCACAAGUCACAAGACCUGCAAGAACCUGGGUGGCCCUGGAUGCUCUAAAACUGAGCCACUCCCUCCGUCCCAAAAAGAAUGCAACUCUCGCUUCUCGAGAAGUCAAACUGUUUCAAGUUUGACAAAAUUUAUACAAAAAAGUACUAACAUAAGGUUCUGUUGUCCUUUUCUUUUCUUAGGGCUCUUUGGUGCCCUUUGGACUUUUGCCCUUGUACAGUUUUAUUUUCCUUGUUUAAUAUACCUUACCACAAUGGGGGUCUCCCCCCACUGUAUAGUUUUCAAAAAAAAAGUACUAACAUUCACGUCUGCAAAUAGAUUUAGUAUGAAAAUAUAUUACAUGAUUAAUCUAUUGAUAUUUAUUUUGUACCAUAAAUGUUAGUACUAUUUUGUAUAAAUUUGAUCAAAUUUAAAAUUGGUUGACUUCUCGGGGAGCGAGAGUUGCAUUCUUUUUGGGACGGAGGGAGUAUUGUUUAGUUCUCAUCCUGUGAGUAAACACGAAAAGGGAAACAUGUGUCCUCUUUUAUCAAGGAAAAGAGAGGAAAAAAAUCAAAACGAUGGUGAAGGCGUACAAAUAUCAUUUCAGUGCAACCAAGCUGCUAUUCUAAAACCGAACUGAUAUUUCUAGCAUCUUUGAAGACUGCGGGACCACUUGAACUUUUUAAUAUGACAGAAAUAAGCCAGAAAAACAACAUUAUAAUCAUACAAAAAAACAUGAAUUCACUAAAAUGAUUACGCACAGUAAUUCAAUAAGCCAAGCAAGGGAAAAGCAGGAGUUUUGAUGUCAGAAACUGCAAUCAUAACUGAGGAAAAAAAAUAAUGUUUCACAAUAAUGACAUCAAUAGUACUAUACCUUUCUCAGCUGCAGCCUUAAUGGCAUUGAUGUUUGCAGUCCCAUUAAUCUUGUACAUGAAAGAAUUUGACCCAAAACCUCCAACACAGGAUAUCUGCAAUAAUUUUUCUCAUCUAUUAGUGGCACAUCAAAUCAGUGCAUGCUUGGAUACUUCAUGUAAUAGUUACGUCAUGACUUAUUCAAGUCCCAGUACAUAGUUGAAAAGUACCUGAUAUUUCAUGUAUCAAGCCAUACACGCUUCUUAUUAUUCUAGCAUUUGCAGAACCAGAACUGAUGGUGAAUACAACAAUUCUAGUUUAUCUACAAGUACAUUAUUGUAUAGAAAUAAAAGUUGCCCCAGAUGCUAUCCAUAAAACAGGGAUGAUAAUUGUUGAAUCAUUGUUACAGUGCACUACGAAUAAGAAAAUGACUAGGUCCAUGACAAAUCCAUUAACCUAGUCAUACAAAUUAAACAAGGGCAAACAGCUUCAUGCCAUAAAGUUAAAAUCGGGGAGCCUGGGCCUCAAGGGUAUUGAUGCCAAUUAUUGGUGUGAGUUCUAGCCAAGUAGCACUUGUGAAAGAUUAUAUUAGAAUGGCCAUAAACAGGCCCUGCAGCACCAAAUGUCAUGUAAAUGAAAGGGCAGGCCAACACCGCCACUCUGCCAGCAUCACCUACAUCAUCAGCCCAAUGCAAGCAUUGUCCAGUGAUGCCGAUUGGAGUGCUGCUCAAAAGUUUUGUGUACUGCUUGAGGUCCUAUAGCUCUGGACCUCUGGUGUCACAUUUCACAACUACUAAUGUUUUUUUUACAAAGUCCGAUAGUAACAAAAUAAGUUAUAUAGCUAUGAAAGAUUUACUCAAAGCAGUUGGUAUAAACAAAACAAACACUAAUACAAGUUUAGGAAGUUUUGCACAUGAGAUCACUUUAGAAGAUCUUUCUGUUAUGGAAAAAUUUUGGUAUCUUUCAGCUUACCCUGUGUUUAAGUGUGGAAAAACCUUGGUAUUAUAUCGCCACCCUAUAAACUACUCUGCAUGACACUAUUGAUAUGCAAGAAUGAUGUAAAUAACAACGAAAUCAACUAUAAGAAAAGAAAUGUGUACAAUAACAAACUUAGCUCAAAUGGUUUUGGGGAUGGGGGUGGGAGGCUUACCACUGCAGAAACAUUAUCCAUAGCAUCCUUAAAUGAAGCCGGUUCCAGGAGGUUGCCUGUCCGAUAGAAGAAGGUAGAUAUUAACUACAUUACCAUUGAUAGAACAGAGUUAACCUCAGUAGCAUGCAACCUUGAUUCCAUAUAACUUUGUCAGCCCAAGAUUCACUUAAGGAUGGCUUUCCAGAUCUAAUGACAAAAAAUAGCAUCGUAAGAAUUAGAAAUUACAGAACACAUUAAGGAGAAGAUGAAUUUGAAGUAUGAAAAGGUCCAUUUUAAUGCCAUUAACUAUUCAUUUAAUCCCUCACACAAAAUGCUGACUCAACUUACUCCCCUCAAACUAUUCAAACAAGAUCAAAUCGCCCUAUGAUGAAAUGACCUUUCUCCGUCCCUUCUCAUACAAGUUGUAUCUUGAGUUCAAAUUUUGUUGGGUCAUAGUUGACAUUAUAUCCUCUGUUACAAAAAUAAUUCAGAUCCUGUCAAGAAUUAUUUUCACCAGUUGGGAGCAUUUCAUAUUACUUUAACCCUCGAGAUAUGAAAGUGUAUGAAAAAUAUGUUUUUAGAGGAUCAAACAAACAAAGUGAAUUACCCGCAAAAAAACAGAAAGUGAAUUGCUCAGGGUAGUAAAAUGGACUUUUUUUCCAGUUUAAGGGUAUAGAAGUACGCAAAUUCAACUACAAGAUACUGUGUACUGUAACUGAACUGUAGGCUAAUCAAGUCUAGUACCAUAGAUAUUGACUCUACUACAUUUAGGAACUACCAAUAUGUUCUUCAUUUGUACUAAGAAAAUCUUCAGUGUGUGUUGUACUAAGAACAUUAAAUUGACACAUCUUCAGUGUGUGUUGAAACAAUCUGAUUCUCUUUUCCAAUUCUAUACAUGGUUUGCAAAUUAUCCUAGUUCAGGGUUCUGGUUUUGUUCUGACUGCUUUUCAUACUAUUAUGUUACCACCAAUUUUGCUCCUUCAACCAGAAAGUUGAAACAAGAUCUUGGGACAUCAUGUCUCUAGACUGAUCCAUAUGACAAACACUCCUCACAGCAGUAAAUUAUGGGUAGAACAGCACAAGUAAAGACAGGAGAAUGAGAGGUUAUUAUCAUUAUUGCUAAGGACACAAAAGGAAUCAACAGAAACUUGAUUGACUACCAGUUAUUUGAGGAUUAGAGUCAUUUGUUGUUUUCCAUGAAUGAUAUCUGAACAAAGCUAUGUGGUGAUUUUUAAGUUGACACCCUAGUCAAGUAGAAAUUUUAUUAUCACUCGGGUGUUUCUAAUGGCUUUUGGCAUACUGCAAGCAAAACUGAGCAAAUCUUAAUAGAACAGAAAGUCAGAACAAAUUGUAAAGUAUGAAACAAGAGAAACAAACUAGCUUAUUGAGUUACCGAUUAAGACUAGAGACAACAAAUCCUCUGUCCAAAGCCUCUUUGCAAACGUGUGAUCCAACAAAACCACUUCCUCCUAGCACUAGCAGCUAUAACAAAACAGAUGUAGGAAGCAGCUCAGUAGUCUUCAUAAACGAUGAAUUUCAAUAAAUUAAGAAAAGAAUGACUGGAAGCACAUCUUUUUUUUUCAAAAAUGCAGGAGAGCUGCAUUUCAUUAAGAAGAGAGAAUAAAAUACAAACAAGGGGUCAUAUGGAUCCCUUCCAAACACACACACUCAUACCUGUAUAAAGCAGUUACAUGCACGCCACUCACAAAUUACUUAAACAACCAGAGCACCUAUUUGGACUUAGAGUACAGGUUAAGCAACCUUGACCUAUCGUUGCAAAUUCGUUGGCUAUUACAUGUAGAAAAACCAUGAAAAGUAUAAAUCAUUGAUAAGAUAUAUCACUCUCAAGCCUCUUAAAUAUAAAACAUGUUACAAUAAGGAAGGUAAAGAGAAUAACGAUAAUGAUUUCUGAGUCUCCUAAAUCGCCUCCCAGCACUACAAAAACCCUAAGCUUGGAUAGUUGGUUUACCACCAAGUUCACCAUUAAGAUAUACAAGUCCAGACAUAGUUAUCUACAAAGAGGUCAUUGCAUAACAGUUGUUCAAAAACAUGAUUGACUGACAGAUUUGACAGAAAAAAACAUAGAAACAUGGAGCGCAUGGAUAGGAACAGGGUAAACUUACAAAGCUUUACACAAAAAAAAAUCACCACAAACUAGACCUAGAUGCUACAUGAAAAUACAUUAUACAUUUCCACUACGCUAGAGGCAAACUAGAAUCUCAUCUUCCACAACAUAUUACCUUGUCUGGAGAAGGUGGUGUCACCUUCACAGUUUCUGCCUCCUCCACCUUAAAAGGCUCCUCGACGUGCUUCGGAUCACUGGGCGUGGCACUGCUGAAGAAUACAUUGCCAGUUUUCAGCAAGACUGGCGAUGAGCUGUCAGAACCCCAACACACAGAGGGAAUUAGCAAUCUCACAGAAAAAAGCAAAUAGCAGCCCGACUGCCUAGAAGCAAGGUAUCAAUCAAGAAUACACCAGAAACAGGCCCGGCCCUGGGGCAGGGGAAACAAGUGAUCACCCAGGAUCCCCAUGGUCGGGGAGCAACACCAUCUUGCAAGCCUACAAAUGCAGCUAAAGUGCCCUUGCUACUCACAGUCAAGUAAUGAUAUGAAGCACUCACAGCUGGCAAUCUGUUCGUUCCCUGGGUGGUGAAGUGCCGACGUGCGGCCAUGACUUAUUAAGGAUCAACAUUCACACCUGUGUUUUCACUAAUCUCAUUUUUCUGCUUGUUCACUCUGCAACAAGCAUUUUGGUGGUUCUUGAGUUUUCUGGUUCACUAACUAGGUUCACUCUGCAAUAGGAAUUUUACUGGUCCUUGUACUAAAACGUCUUAAGACAGCAUAGGACAGAUAGAGGCCUACAGUAAAGCAAUCAAUUGCAAUUCUAUUAUUAAUAUAAAAAUAUUUACAUUCUUACUUCAAUGAUGAUCAGUAUGAGUAUCCAUAAGUAAACAUAUAUCAACCGCAAACGUCCUAAAAUCUUGACACUAGAGUAAUAAGCAAUAUGUAGCUGUACUUGGAAACAGAAUCCACACAGCACUUUUUGUAAUAAACGGAAAAUGCAUAUAUCUAAUAUAAUAAGGGCCUCUUCUUUCUAUUUUUCCCCAGGCCUACCAAAUGUCAGCAGGGGUCAGGACCGGCCCUGGCCAAUUAAAUCGCGGUUCGUCCUCCAAUCGAUUCGCCCCAAGUCCAAUGAAUCCCCUAGGCGCCACCAAAAUUGCCGCAUGACCCAAGGCAACCCAUCCACCGCAAUGCUAAAUAUCGCUUGCUCACACGCAUGACAUGGAGGGGCAGGGGAGGGGGGUCGCUCACCUGAGACGGGAGGUCGAGGCGGAGGCGGAGGAGGAGCGGAUCAAGCGGGCCACGGCCGACCUCAUCGCCGCCGCACCUGUACUCACGAUCUUGCUAAGAGCAACGUGGGGAAGGAAGGUGGGGAAUCGCGUGCAGGUGGCGCGAGGGGAGGGGAGGGGAGGGAGGGAUUCAAGCCUCCAGGAUCUGGUGGCGGCGUGGCGCUUUUGGUGGAAGCGGAAGCGAGCAAGUGCCGCAGCGAGGGGGCGCCACGUCCGGGGCUAGCGUGUGGUGCCAAGGCUGCCGAAUCUGCUAGAUAGCGCACAUGCGUUUGGAUUCAGCCAUUCAGGUGGGUGGCGGCUUCGUUAAAAAUUUAUUUCUUUGCUGAUAACAAUCCAACUAUUCUCAUAAUUCUUUCAAAAUGUUAUAUAGUACUCCGUAUUAGCUAUCUUUUGUUCCAUGUUGUAUUUCAAUUUAUUUUUUUGUGAAAAGUAUUAUUCUUGUGUAUAAAUAUUUGUUCAAGCUACAUAAACUUUUUUGUUCCAUGUGUAUAAGUAAUGUUCUAAUUAAUUUAGACUAAUAAUAAUAUUUCUCUACCACAUAACAAAGGCUGCAUAUCCACAAUAUUUUACUUCACAUGUAUAAUUUUUUGUUUCACCAGCAUGAAUUUAUUAGCCCUUUGUUUCUCUUAUACAAAGUUUUGCUCGAUUUCAACAAACUUCUAUUCCAUGGUUGUUUGACUUGAACAUUUUUUUGUUAACAUAAAUAACAUGCUAGGCAAAUGGGGAAGAAUUGGAGGAAGGAAUUAGAGGAGUGCUUUUUUUGUCUUCGGUGACCUCUGUGAUUAUAGGGACGGCUUGAGAGGUACACGAGAAGACGAUUUGGCGUGCGGUGGUGCAGCAAGACGUCAUAUAGUGGGGCACCAUCACUACAUAUGGUAGGCGGGUGUUUGUUGGGAUUGACAAUGGGGAAGUGAAAAAAAUGAAGAUAUUAGUGAAGGAGGUGCAACAAAAGCUGAUUCGGCGGCAUCCCAUCGCCGUGCAUCAGAGAUGGUUGGAGGAGAGUAGGACCAGGGCAAAACUAAAAUCCGUUGAGCGAAUGGAGGGGACGAGUGCUAAAUGAAUGGAAGAAGAAGGUAUGCGUAACCACUGUCACUUCACUAACAUUCUCGUAUUUAAAGGUUGAGGGUAAUCUCAACUUGCAUAUUACAUAGCAUCAAGCCAAGCACGUGAAAACGUUUACUUUGCCAUGAUAUUAUUAAAAGAUAAUUGACCUAGUUUAUAAGAAAAAUUAGGAGGAAAAAACUAUGCAACUAGAGGUAGAAUUCCUGUAUAACUUUGGUUAUUCGGACCAUCCCCGUAUGACUUCGGUACACCGACCGUACAACUAGGGAUGCCACAUAAAUACAUCCCCACGCAACUUCGGUUCAUAGACCAUAUAACAAACCAAACGACUUCCUCAGACCUUAGAACAUCUCCAACCCUUGACAUAUUAGUGGAAUCAAUAUUUUAAAUGAUGAACUAUGUAAAAACAUCUCACUAGCGCAUGGCGAAGAGCUAAGCUCGCAUAUCUCCCGAUACUCCCCCAUCUCACAGCACGAGCUCUAAGCUGUCAUGUUGUGGAUGCUCCCUCUUCUCCCUCUUUCAGCUUGAGCUAGCAGCUACCUUAUGCUGUUGGAGAUAUCAUUACAAGUUGCAACUCGCUGGGACAACAACUACUGCCUGAAAACACAUAUAGGAGGGCAACAAAGUAACAAACUCUGCCGGAACAACAACUUCUUCGGAUGCUCCGACGUAUAUUGCAAUAGUUAACUAUUAUUUCUGUAUGUUUUACAGUAAAUAUUGCAUGAAACAUAGUGUUCAUGUUGCGACAGGAAUUUUCUAUCCCAUAGUCUAACGAUAUAGUCAUUUUUACACAUUAUUUUCAUAUUGCGAACAGUGACCGCUAAUAAUGCAUUAGGUAAUUUUUAAUAUUUCGUCACGAUGAAAAAUUUUCCAUCGGACCUCCGGGCACUAGCAGCACCAAUUAUAUUUUGAUCCUGAAAUUGACAUGGAACAUCUUGUGCGAGGUUGUUCUGCAGCACAAUUACAAUUACUUCUGUGAAACAUGUAUGUUUGUGGCUUUAUCGAGUUGGGUCUGAUGUUUUCUUGUCUUCCUUUUUUUUUCUGUUGCAGGUAAUUGUAAUACAGAGGGUCUGGAGAACAGUGAAUUUCCGGAUGCUACGUUACCUCGAUACUUCAACAUAACCCCAUAUUACGUAUCCGAUAUUUCGAUACGUAUUUGUGCCUUUAACUUUUGCACCGCCUAUCCGUAUUGGUGCUGCAUAGUCCAGAUGAACUAUGAUGCUCGCAGGGUAAGAUCGUGUACCUGCUGAAGUGUUUUUUGGAUUGUUUUCCCACCUGUCGUUUGAUAACUGAAAGCCAUGACUUGAGCUUAAAAGACUGCUACUGGAUACAUGAAAUUGGUAGAUAUUAGGUUACUGCUGAAAAUUGUUUCUGCAGUCUGUUCAACUUAUUGCUCAUCCAUCCUUUAUUCUUUCAACCACUGAAUCUGGAAUCUGGUUAAGGACAGCCCAGUUCAUCCUAAAUUCAUUUAUUACCUCCCCAUAGCUACAUUCGGAUCUGUGCUAGUCCCAAGGCAAAAGUUUGAGGUAAUUCCCAAGAGCAAAUGAAAUAUCUGCAUGUACUUCAAUUGUCUCUGCUCAACAGCUAUACAGCCUAUACUCCCAGGAGUAUUUAACUAACAUGCUGUCUGAAACAGGGUUCUUCUUUUUUUGUGCAUUUCAGCCUUUUCAGUGACUAGUAGCUUCAAUUGCACUCGUAAUCCUAAAAUUUCCAUUAUCUGUAUCCAUUUUCUAUCUAUGAUAGAAAUCUGAAUAACAGAACCAAAUGUAGCAGCCUGGUUUGUAUCUGACAUGGAGUGCAUCUUUUUUCUUCAGUAAAUUUAGAUGUCUGGUUAAUGACAAGCUUUUACGCUCUUUGAUGUUGAUCAUGCAUGUGCUCUAGAAAAAAGUACGAAAACUUGUUAGAAAAAUGUAUGAAAAUUAUAAAAGUAUGUGUGUGUAAAUAGUGAGCAAAAGAAACAAAUUUAAAUCGUAACUCUCCUUUUUUAGAGCAAGCAUAUGAUCACCGACCAUUAGGCAAACAAAUCACCCAAAAGGCUGUAAAAAUAGUGGGUUCAACUUGAAGCCCCGUGCUUGGAUGUUUUAUUAAAAUAUGGUUAGAUUGAUGAGAUGGUUUUUGAAACCUUUUCUUUGGCACGACAAGACCAUUUUGUAUUUUUAAAAUCAACGACCAUUUUUUGUAAAAUUGACAAAUAGAAAAUAUAGAAAUUAAAAAAUCCCGCUGCUAUCCACUAUACCCAUGAGCCCAUUGGGCUUUUGAGUAGCAGAAAUGUACAAAGCUUUUGGGCCAACUACACAGUCAAGGCCCGAGGCGGCUGCAAGCCUGAAAAACCUAUCCAUCUUCCGGAAGGCAGGUAACCCUUUGAUCUUCUGGUGUUUGAGAUUCGUGUGACCAUUAUGGGCCGCACGAUCUCCUUCGUUCUCCCAUCUCUCUCAUCGCACGAGCGCCGCCGCUAGGGUCUGAGGUGGUUGGUGGGCGGGAGCGACCGCUGGUGAGGUUGCCGCCAACCGCCGGUGGUGGCCGAGGCCGGUGGGGGUGGGAGGGGUCGGCCGAAUGGAGGUUAAGGUUUCGGGUUUCUAGGAGGUGGGGUUCCAAUGGUCCCCGGAUGUAGAAGAAGAUCGGCGGCAGUGGCGAUUCGGCCGGCGGCAGUGGCGAGAUGGCGCUCCCUCGGGCAGGGUUGGACAUCCGGUGGCAGUGGCAGUAGCGGGGGGUGGCGAGGGGUGGAUUAGGAAGGGCUGGGUGGAGGGAGGCGUGGUGGUGGGUGGGCGGACGGUGCGGCAGCCGCCGGUCGGGGCGGUGGAGGAGGGGGCGGGGGUGGGGGUGGAGGGCGUCGGGAAGAAGAUGAGGUCGAGAUGGGCCUUGGUGGGCUGGAAGGUUCCAUCCCUGUAAUUUUUUUUAUUUUUAUAUAUUUUUUACGAUUUUGCAGAAAUAAAUAAUCGAAUAAAAAAUUUGCAAAAAUAGACCUAUGCCAUCGGACCAAACGGCGGUAGCAGCUUAUGUCUUACCGCCGGGUGAAACGGCGGUAAGGCUCUUACCGCCCCCCAUCCGGCGGGCCGCCCACGAGUUAGAAUGGCGCUAGUCUCGAGAAAGUUUCGCCGUUUCAUCUGACGAUAAGGAUGCCCCGCCAGUUCAAACGGCAGAAGCCAUCCCUUACUGCCGGAUGAGCCGGCGGGGCCUCCCAUUAUAUAUACAGCGCGCGGCUGCUCCCACCCACGUGCCAAAGCAAACAAAGCAAGCCAACCAGCAAGGGAGGGAGGGAGACCGAAGGUAGGGAGGGAGAGGAGAAGAAAGGAAGGGAGUGAGGGAGGAGGAGGAGGAGGAGGAGGAGGAGGGAGGGAGGGGAAGGAAGGAAGGGAGAGGGAGGAAGGGGAGAUUGAAGUUUUGGUCGUCGCUUCAUUUCAGGUACUUUUUUAAAUCUCGUAGUUUAGUUAAUGUACAUAGUUAGUAGUACAUAGAUCUAGUAGUUAGUUUAGUGGAUAUGAGACUUAAAAAAAUCUAGCGGAUUUUAGACAUAGGAAAAUGUAGCAUAGUCAGUAUAGUGGAUUUAGCUUAGGUAUUUAGUUCACAUUAAAUUUAGUUUGUUGAUUUAUGUAGAUUAAAUUUAGAUGAAUAUUAUUUGCAUUGCUAGGGUUAUAUUUUGUUUAGGUGUUGACAAUGUAGUUGUUAUAGGGGUAGUUGGAAUUAUUAGAUUUAGUGAGAACCUUUGUAUUUGUCGCGUAUAUUGUCCUGGGUAGAUGCCUAUGAUAAAUUUAGCUCGUAAGGUUGGUUUACUCUUAAAUAGUUGUUAGUGUGCCAUCGUUUAUUGAAAUGAAGGUGUCAUUCUAGUUAACUGAUUUAAGUUAUUGAGAGUAAUUUGGACUGCUCAUUUCAUAUAUGUUGGCAGACAUGUCGAUAGUUUAUAUUUUCAAGUGUUAUAUGGUCUGGAGGAGGUUAGAUAUGGUCCAGAAGGGGUACAUUUGAGUGGAUUUUCGUAUUUCUGCAAGUAUUUACCAGGAGCAAUAGAGAGGACUUGAGAGGCAUAUGCAGGUGGCUUUAUAAGGAUUUCGAUGUUGAUAGAGAUCUAGUAGAUGUGUCUGUGAGGUCUUUCAUGUGAACGAUUGUAUAGCGUACGAAGUGUGGUCAUAUGCAGUCUACUCAAAUUAUACAUAUUUUACUUUAAAAAUAUCAUUAAAAAAUUAAAGGAACAAUAUUUAAAACAGAGGUAUAGCCUCAAAUUACGAAGUUACGUAUUGCAAUGGAACUACAUAAUUUACUUUCAUAAAUGUCAUAAAAAAUAAAAGAAAAAUAAUUAAAAAAAGUUAUAGUCGACUAAAACGGUUAGGUACUCAUAGCCGUUUCAACUGGCUAUAGCAUCCUCAACCCGGCUGCAGGUCCUUACCGCCACUUGAAACGGCGGUAAGGCCCGUACCACUGUUUCAGCUGGCGAAACACGGCUGCACGUGCCAGCCGACACCCUUCCACUUUUUCAAACCGGCGAAAGGACCCUAUCACCGUUUGGUCCGACGGCGAAUGUUCAUUUUUGCAAAUUUUUAUUUGAAUAUUUGUUUAUGCAGAAUCGUAAAAAAAAUAAAAAAAAAUUCCAUCCCUGCUCUGUCUUCCGUAAGAUAGAGAGGAGGCCUGCAAGCCUCCGAUCCACCGCCGCCAGGCUUGCCAAGUUUGUUUACCCACCGCCCUGGCUCCUCUUCUCGAAGCCUCUGCGUGGGCACUGGGCGGCGAAUCGAAUGUCGGGUGAAGAUGAGCUCCUCGCCGGCGGGGGUGUGCCCAUCCGGCAGCCGCGGCUGGAAGACGCGGGCCUCGAGGACUGCGCGCUCCCGCCGGAGUCCAUCGCCGAGGCCUUCUCCCUCGCCGCCGCGGCCAUCUCCUCCCGCCUCGCUCGCUUCCCCCGCUUCCCCCUCUCCGACGACUCCGACGAGGAGGACGAGGAGGGCCGCGUCUCGGCACCACGUGGAGGCGGCUGCGUGGAUGAUGCCGGGCCCGCCCGCGGGGCCGUCCCCGACGCCGACGUCCUUGUUGCCAGCGGCGUCAUGGGCGACGGCGGCGGCGCCGAUGAGGUCGUGGUCGUUGGCGGAGGACGCGGAGGCGGAUGCGAGGACGCGGUGGUGGUCGGCGGGCGCGGGGAAGAGCAGGAUGGAGUCGUGGUGGUCGGGGAAGGGAGCGGGGAGAAGGAGCUGGGGAAGGAGGGUGGAUGCGUCGAGGAGGUCCGAGAAGGGGUCAGUGAACCGGGGCGCGCGCACGGCGACGGAAAGGACGACGAGGAAGUGGCGGAGAAGGCGAUCUUGGUGCCGGAUUUCGACUGAGCAGCUCGAUUGGUGACCGCUGGAUUCAAGCUUCUCGUCGUAGCUUGGGCCAAGGUGUGAAUUUCAUUUUAGUUUUGUUCUUGUUAGAGGCAGCUAAUAGUGUCAGAUCUUUUGCUACUUGUUGUUUGUUUGACUGUAUGACUGUAAUGUAAUGUAUGGUUUGUAGUCUCAGACGAUAUCUUCUCAAACGUUUAGCCUUAGUAGCAUCUGGCUUAAGAGUUAGCCUUACCAGUGAUUUUGGUUGUUGUUGUCCUGCUUGAGUUUUGCACACUCAUCUGGCAAGAGUAGUGAUUGAAAUAGAUUAUGAAGGAACCACCGAUCUAGCAGACUGGCAUCUGUGACAAAUUUGAAGAAUUAAAUUUAAAGAACUUUGUUGUGGACAUUGCCAAUAUUAAGAAGGGAUUAAAGUUAACCCUGUGCCAAAUAUCAAACUUUCUAUGUCUGUAGAAGAGGAAUUCCUACAAUUUACUAAAUAGCUGUGCCUCCUGAAACCAUUUGUCACAUUGCUUGUUAUAGAAGGGUAAAGUGCCCGAAGACUAUUUGCUAAUGAACUCAUGAAGAGGGGUGUUGCUUAUGAACUCAACAUAUACUGUUACACAAGAAGUUUAACUUGAUUCAAUUACUGAAAUGAUGCAUACUUACAGACAAGCAAACAUCUUUGCCAACUCCUUGCUAGAAGAAAUUGUAAUGUACGGGCACACGUACACGCGGCAUCGCAGGGCACGCGAUGUGCGCCGCGCUGCUGAUCGAGCAGCACGCCUGAGUCAGCCGGUGAUCACAUCAAGUGGCUAAGAUUAGAAGGAAGAGAGUAAUUGGUUGUUUCCCUUUUUUGUUACUUUCCUUUGGCAGUCCUUAAGUUUAGGAAGAGUGGUUGGGCCGGAGGCCAUAUAUUCCUGAAACCGCACAUUGAGAGAUUAAGCAAGAAUCAUUCAGUCUAAUCUCCUGCCUCUUCUCUAAGCCACGAGCCUGGGGGCAAAACCCGGCGAGUGUUGAGCGACGUGGGGGCAUAACCCCGUCGUGUUUACCACGGAGCGCGGGUACGAGCUCCGUAGUCGAGGCCCGGCGUCCCUGCCGCAUACCGCCCUUGACAGAAAUGCAUCUAAGCUUUUUCGUCGAAGUUGUACAAUUUUGUAAGCUUGAUAGCCUUGCUGAGAUCAAGUGAAAUUUGAACUGGAUGAGGGAAGUGAGGAGCUUAUCCAUAACUCCAGAGUAACUGGUAGAACAGCUUCAAAGGUGUGACAUCAAUCAGUUAUUGCUUCCGAUGGCUCUUGUGACUGAUGAAUGUAUCAGGCCACCAUUGCGCAUCUAAUGAUCUAAACAUGGAGUAAUAUUGAAACUCAGUGUCCCUAUGUUCUAAGAUAAUGAUGGUAACCGAUUAGUUUAGCCUAUGAUUGACUAUUGAUGAUAACAAGUCUCAUUCAGCAUGGUGAUCUAUGUUCACUACUGAUAUAUGUGCUGCAGUAGAUCUGUAUAACCAUGCUUUCUGGGCUUCUGGCAGAACUAGUGCAAAAGAGGCCAUCACAGUAGUAUAAUUAGUCAAGCUUUUUCUUAGAGCACGCAGGAAGGUCUUUCUAUUAUUAAGGGUGUGUUUGGUUGGGCUGUGGCUUUUGGAAAAGCUACUGUGAGCUGUGGGCUGUGGAAAAGCAGCUAUGAGAAAGCAGCUAACCCUUUGGUGGUUAGAUUAGCUGUGAAACUGUAAGCUGUGUAAGAAAUACUUGUAAUACCUUUAAAGGUUUGUGGGUGUGUUUAUAUGCAAACUGCUCGUAAUAAAGAAAUGUGUUCACUAAUUCGCAUGUAAAUGACUGUUGUACAAAGAAAAAAAAUAAUUUGUAAUAAUUUGUAUCACCGGAAGUUCAAGAUUUAUAACUUGGUCUAUAUUUGUAGCUAAAUAUGUUGCAAUUUUCUUCUUUAUUUUCUUAUGGCAAAUAUCAUCAUGCAAUUAUCAGAGUUAUAGAAUGGAUUGGUGUGGUUAUAAAUCGGGUUAUAGCCCAAUUAUCAGGGUUACUAUGAUCCUAUCAGGCUAUCAGCUAUCAGUCCAAUUACUAUGCAUCACUGUACAACUCCUCCGUUGCAAAUGCUGAAGCUUACAGCUAUUCAGGCAACACUGCUAGAUCAAUAGUACAAGUAUUUUAACGUAUCAUCUCAUAGUAUGAUCUCUCCACCGAUCCACAUGACAUGAGAACAACACUGCAACGACCAGAACAGCUUCAGAAGAUUGGACGCUCCUUCCCACCAAGAUGUCUCACAAUAUAUUCUAAGAUUCACUGAAUUAUAAGUAUUAAUAUCAUAGGAAUGCAAAUUUACACAAUUCCAAAUUGUGAGUUCAUCGAAGAAAAACAAUUAAACAGAACACGCUUUCAGGAAAGAAAGCUUCCAUGAAUGUUGGACUUGCAUAUCACAGUCGCCAAGAUGGGCGUGACAUAAGGAUGCUGAUCACGUAACUGAGACCAUUAUUGUCUGAUAGCAAAUGAUUCCCUGUGCAAAGAAAGAAAACAGUACCAGAAAUUUACUGUGCAAAGAAAGAAAACAGUAUCAGGUGUGAUGAGAAAUUAUCUAUCUUGAAUCAAGAUUUACAACCUGAUUAGUUCGGAUAAGUGGCUGGAACAAUCGGAUUGGUCUUGUUUCCUGAACUGUGCGCAGUCAGCUAAUUCACCAGAAGCUAAUUCGGGAAAAACAGAGCAAGUUCAUCUCGACGGAAUCUGGACUGUACGUGGUGACUUGACGCGAGAAUGGCGGCGGCCGGCGACGGCAGGCGCGGCGGACGCUGGCUGGAGGCGGACGGCGGGGUGCGGCGGCCGGUGACGGGUGGGUGCGGCGGACGCUGGCUGGAGGCGGACGGCGGGGUGCGGCGGCCAGGGGCAGGGUGUGCGAGGCACCGGGGGCGCAGAGCGGAUUCAGCAGAAGCUGGACCGGCGAAGGGGGUGGCGGGCCGGCAACCGGCGUGGGCGAGAGGAGGACCGGCGACCGGGAGCGGAGAUGGUCCGCCGGGCGGCGCUAGACUGCGGGAGGCGACGGGUUGUGACGGACGGGAGAAAUAGAUCGAUAAAAAACGAAUCGUUACUUUCAUUAAGAGGCAGGUACCUACACCAAAAGCACUUGAAAGCAGGGGAGAUGGUGCUUUUACAUUUGUACUAGACUAAAAGUAGCUUUUGGGCAAAAGCACAUAGAACUUUUUAGCCCUUUGGUUGGCUUUUGGCUUUUGCAAAAGCAAAAGCAGGUUCAAAAGCCCAACCAAACGCACCCUAAUUAACUCAAACUUUUAGAUAAUAUAAACAAGUUUGGAUGAGAAAUACAAAAUUAUCAAUUUUAUAAUUUGAAAAUUGUCACCACUCAUCUGCUUCAUCUCCUAUUUCCAUAUUAGUAAAUAAAUACUAAUAUGGUCAGCUUACUAUGGUCAGAUCUUUUGCCGCUGCUUGUUUGUUUGGCUGUGAUGUAAUGUAUGGUUUUUAGGCUCAGCGAUAGGUUCUCAAAUGUUUAGCAUAGUGCAUCUGGCCUACGAGUUGCUAGUAGUUUGUGCCUUACUGGUGAUUCUUGGUUGUUAUGUUCCUACUCUAUUUUGGCAUGCUAAUGUGGUAACAGUAGGUUAUUGAAAUGGACUAAUGAAGAAAAUCACUGAUCCAGAACCUGUGACAGAUCUAAAGAACUAAACUAAAAGAACUCUGUUUUGCUAUGUGGCAAUGUAUUAUGUAUGUACUGCUUUGUUUCUAGUCAAAUAAACUAAGUUAUAUCUGUGAGCAAAAAGAGACUAACUGGACUAAUAUUAAGUAGAGGAAUUCCUGCAAUUUACUAAAUUACUCUACCUCCUUAAGCCAUUGUCCCAUUGUUUGUUAUAGAAGGGCAAAAUAUCCGAAAACUAUUUGCCGGUGAAUGUCGCUUAUGAACUCAAAUAUACUGUUCCAAGAAAAAAAGUGAACUUGAUUCAUUGAUUGAAAUGACGCAAACUUCCACACAAGCAAACAUAUUUGCUAACUUCUUGUGUAUUCUAGAAGAAAUGCCAGUGGAUCUUGUGUACGGUUUUUUUUGUCAAAGUCAAACAAAUUUGUAAGCUUGAUAGCCUUGCUGAAAUCCAGUGAAAUUUGUGGAACUGGAUAAAGAAAAGGUAGCUUUCGUAUGAAAUAGAAGAUCAUCCAAAAUUCCAGAGUAACUGGUAAAAAGGUUUUGCAUUUCUAGCAACUUGAAUCUAAUUUAGUUCUCGUGGUGUGACAUCAAUCAAUUACUGAUUCCGAUGGCUCUUGUGGCUGAUGAAUGUGUCAGAUCACUGCCGUAUCCAAACAUGGAGCAAUACUGAAACUUGGCGUUCCUUUGUUCCAAGUCUAAGAUACUGAUGGUAAACAAUUUAUGAGGACCUUGGAUCUUAUAUGCAAGUGUCCCGAAUUUGAUCAAAUGCCAAUAAUGCAUAUUUGGAUGAUGUUCCUGCCAUGCAUGUCGCCGACAUGUCUCAGGCUCUCAGCAGUGCGUUUGCUUCACCUGGUUGCCCUGUAGGUCGCUUGCCACGGGCGAUGCUAGGGAUCAUGAUGCAGAAGUUGUAGACGUCUAAUGUACUGAGAAUGCAUGUGCUGAAGUUCUAAUAAGAUAAGCAGCCCGUUCGGCUGGGCUGAAGGCUUUUCAGCCCAGCCGUUUGGCUGCUCCAGUGAAGCCGUUCGUUCGGCUGCCCACCGACGCGAGAUGCGUCAUUUCCUCUCCCUCUCGCCUCACGUCCUUAUCCAGUUCGUAGACGCUCUCGCCCGGUCGCUCGCUCUCGGCCGCUCUCCGCCGCCAUCGCUCCCUCCGCUCGCCCGCUCCCUCGCUCUCGCCCGCUCUUCGCCGCCGUCGGUCCGUCGUCUCGCCCGCUCCCUCACGCUCGCUCGCUCUCCGCCGCCGUCGGUCCCUCCUCUCGCAUGCUCCCUCGCUCUCGCCCGCUCUCUGCCGCCAUAGCUCCCUCGUCUCGCCUGCUCCCUCGCGCCCGCCUGCUCUCCGCCGCCGUCGGUCCCUCCUGCUCCGUCCCCGGCGGCCGCCUCCCUCCUUCGGUCAAGCGGCACAAAUUGGGUAGAUCCACCACGGGUGGCCUCUUCCUCGCCGGCAGCAGACCAUUCGGCCCCACUGCAGCGCCGCGACAUCGGGGGUGAACGCUGCCGUCAGGGAUCCAGGUCGCCGCCCAGCACGGCAGCCGGGAUCCGGGCUCUCCACCGCCGCGGCCUUCACCGUGCCCCCCCCCCCCCCGGCCUGCCAACUCGAGCAGGAGGAGGUCACCCAGAUCCACCACCCGCCACAUCCAAGCUGUGCCGCCGCCGUCCCCUGACGAAGCGCACCAUCUACAUCAAGGUACUCCGGAGUUUAACCGCCUUAGGUUUGUUGGUCAAGCACAAUUUUUGGUAGCCAUAGAGGUGCUUCUGGUGAACCUGAGUUUAUUUUCCCUUGUUUUUGCAGGUUCAUGGUUCACAUUUCAGUUGGGUGGGACAACAAAUUCUUGAUUUCAUUCUGGUAACUCCUGUCUUCCUUGUUCAACAGCACCUACACUUGUACUGCUUCCUGAAGAUGGUUUACUGCCGGUUUGCCUGUGCUUAUGAACCGUGAUGGCUGCUUUCAACAAAAGCCACAUGCCUGUGAAGCUGCUGGUACUUUGCUAUUCUGUGCAUUUGCAUUGUAAAUGUUAGCUUUCUAUUGCUACUCGGGUACACAUGCUCCAUUUUUGUACUUUGAUGUAGAUGUAUGAAAAUUAGCCAUGUGUAGAUGUAUGAGUUCAUAACUGGUAAUGUUACCUACAGAACGCUUGUGACAUCCAUGACAUGUUUGCUUAUACUACAAACCCCUGAGCAUUUAAUCUUUGUUUACUGAUCUCUUCUUUUGUUGAGUUAGUGGUUUCAUUAGGAUAUCUUAUUUCUUUUGUUGUCCUGUGGUUCAUUCAAACUGCUGUUAUAAUUCGAGUUGUUUGAUGCUUAGCACUUGUGUGCAUUAUGCUUGCAGCAUGUUCUUCCUCUAAACUGUGCAAACCUUUAUACAACAAACUAAGCAUCAGUAAUGUGUCUGUUUUUUUAUCACCUAUCCAGGCAUCUACUACAAGCCUAGUAGUAGCCCACCCGUGAUGAACUACCAACAGUGCUCACACUAGCAUCGUCAUCUAGUUCUUCGUGCUCUCCCCCACCGGUCUGUCCGUACAAUUUCCGUCACAAACGUGCCAAGACAGCUGCUAAGGCAAGUGACAUAUCCAUUACUGUUGAAUUUGUGUACUUGUAUGCCUCAUGCUGUUGCUUCCUUUGUUGCAAUAUAGUUGCAGCUACUGUCUACUGAGAAUAUGCAUUGUACACCUGGGCUCAGAUGGCUUGCAGCCGUGCCAACUGGGACAAGGCCACAACGAAAACAUUGCUGGACCUGUGCAUAGCUGAGAAGAACCAAUUCAAUUAGAGCAACAGGUGACUAGCUAAGUUGGUAGUUAGGGAUAGCAACACGUGUAACGCAACUUCAAACAAUAGUCUGGUCUUAAUUUGGGCAGCAAGCAGCUGCAGAACAAGCUGCACACCAUGCAGAGAGCAUUCUUGAGCUGGAAGGACUUGCAAGUCCAAUCUGGUUUAGGCUGUGACAAAGAAACUGGUGGUGUUGCUGCUGAUUCCACCUUUUGGGAUGACGAUGAAGGGGUACGUCCUUUUACAGCAACAUAACUUAUUGCUCAUGUUAUGUAUACCAACAUAUUUUUGUUACUAACAUGUACCGUUCCUCAUUGCAGGAAACCAGUGCUGGUGCUGCCCAGACUAGUUCUGCUAAACCACCCCUGUUCCUCGACGAAUUGUACACGUUGUUCGGCCACAUCACCCAAGACAGGGGCACCUUGCUGACGGCAGGAGGUAUUCGUGAGGCGACACCUAGCAUGGGGAUUGAGGACAAUGCACAUGACUUUUACCUGGACCCAUGGCUGCUAGUAGUGCUCGUAACUUGUCUAAAAGGACAACCCGGAAAAUCUCUGUUGACAAUCCUUCGAAAAAGAAAAGUGGCAGCUUGGAGGACUAUGUCAGGGAACUUUCCAAAAUUGUGGUAACGAGGAGCCAGAAACUUGGCGACCGUGAGCAGGAGGAACUGGAUCGUGCAAUGCAGCUUAUAGAAGAAGAUGGUAUCGAGGAGGGGUCUGAGCUGUACUGUCAUGCACUUUAUUUAUGUAAGAAUGCAGUGUAUCGGAGGGCCUUCAUGAAGAUGAAAAUGAAAGAGGGCCGACUGAAUUGGAUCCAAUUCAACUGGGACAGGGAGAACAAGUAGUCCAUUGUGGCAUAAGUUUGUUUUAUUCUAGUGAUGUGUACUGAUGGGUUGAAACAAUAAUGUCUGAUGUACUGCAUGUUAAAUUUUUUUCAAGUUCAAUGUCGCCCAUGAUCUGUACUACAUGACCAUCUAUUUUUUACUUGUGUCACAACGCUUGUAAUUUCCAUAGUAUGUCUUAGUAGUGACGAGGAAUUUUAAUAUGUGUUGUCAUUGUGCCGUGAACAGAAAGGUGGGGAGGCCAUUUGAGGCCCUCAGCAGGUGUCCAGGAAGGAGGAUUGGUUAGUUGUCCGGGCUUCCAUGGAGGAAAGGGAGGACGAUUGACAGGUUUGAAACAAAUUCAUCUGUCAAUUGUGGUGCAACUUUUACUAUAUAGGCUUUGAUGACUGAUCCCCCUCCGUUUGUUAUUGUGCACAGGCUCAUUCAAGUAUGAGUAGUGCUGAGGAAUCAAACAGCGACAUCGGCAGUGAUUCUAGCUCCAUCGUGUACCAGCUGGCGAGUGUAGCAGCAGCUGUAGCAGCAUAUGUCGCCGUGAAUAGAAGCCCACCUCCUGUGGUGAACCCGCCAGUGGAGUUGCCACGCAUGACCGGACGGCAAUGGGUUGAGCUCAAUAUGCGGGAAAGCUGGAGGUGCUACGAUAAUUUUCGUAUAUAUCCCGACGUGUUCCUUCAGUUGCAUGACAUCUUGGUUAACAAUCAUGGGUUGCAAUCGUCACAAGGGGUAGAAUCUAUUGAGGCUUUAGGUAUGUUCGUCUGGGCUUGUGUGACACAACAGGCUUCCUGUCAAAUUAGAGAUAGAUUUGAGCGGAGUUUGGACACAGUUAGUAGGAAGAUGGUGCAUGUGGCAGAUGUAAUGUUCUCAUUUGCCCAGACGGUAAUCGCUCCAAAGGAUCCUGCGUACUCCAAGGUUAAUCAUAGGCUGAACCAGUAUGCACCGUUCUUUGAUGGGUGUAUAGGUGCUCUAGAUGGAACCCACGUUCCCGUACAGGUCGGGCGUGAGUCCCAUUUGGACUUCAUUAAUAGAAAAUGGUGGACAAGCUUUAAUGUGUUAGUGAUAGUGGAUAUGGACAUGCGGUUCACCUAUGUAGGAGCGGGGAGGGCAGGGUCCAGUCAUGAUAUGUCGGUGUUGUGGGAGUGUAUGGAGACACCAAACUACCCGCAUCCACCUCCAGGUAUGGUACUUGCCUAAUUACGAACAUGACGCAACAAUUGUAAACGUGGUGCACUAAUGGUGAAUAUGUUUGAUGUGCUGUAGGAAGGUAUUAUUUGGUGAACUCGGGUUACGCAGUUCGUGAAGGCUAUCUGGGGCCCUAUUGAAGUACCAGGUACCAUUUGGAGGAAUUCAGCAGAAGAGCGGCUGAAAGUUUGGAGGAGAAAUUCAACUUCCACUAUUCGAGUCUUCGCAAUGUUGUCGAACGAGCUUUUGGCGUGCUCAAAUCCAGGUGGCAUAUUUUGCAGCAAGUACCAUUCUAUGAUCGAGAGAGGCAAACGAAGAUCGUUAUUGCUUGCUUUGCACUCCACAAUUAUUUGCUGGACCGUGCCGAUGCAAGUACUGUAGAUUCGAACAUGGCGUGAACUCCGGAUUACGGGGUGUCCGCAUGGGUCGCAGCAAAUGCUACUCCUGAUAUGGCUAGUGUACGAGAUUGGAUCGCGGCAGGAAUCUCAUUGAUGUAGAUGUAUGCGUAUGUGUGUAUGUUUGUGUUAUAUGUUGUAUGUAAGCAAUUGAUGUGCAACAUGUUAUUCUAGUGUGUGGCUUAUUUUGUAUGUCAGUAGCAUCGCGGUAGUGGGUUAAGUUUGCGUCAAAAAAUUAAAUUUUUUUGCUCCUUUCACGAUCACAAAUUUGAAUUUGAAAUGUAGCAGCAGUAGCAAAAACAGCCGAAGAAGCCUAGUAGCAGCAAGCAGCGGUGCCCAGCUGCUUCUACCAGCGGUUGCAGCUGCAGCCAGCAGCGCAGCCAGGCAGCUGGCCGCCGAACGGGCUGAAGGUGCAUGGACUGAAGUUGUAAUGUUUCGGAAAGAAAAACAUUCGUCACCAAGAGCAGACCACCUUAAGCACUGUGUUGAAGGUCCAACCGAGCUGUGUGUGUGUCUGCCUGAAGAAAGCCUGUGUAAUAUACCUUUUGGUGGCAGUGAGAAGUGAACUAUGAUGAGCUUUUUCUCAGCACAGCCGAAUAUGCUGGAGCAAUAUAUCAAAGAGCAUAAAAGCUUUCAUUUACCGGUCCUCUAAGGGUGUGUUUGGAUACAAGGUGUUAAACUUUAACAGUGUCACAUCAAAUAUUCGGAUGCUAAUUAGGAGAACUAAAUAUGAGCUAAUUAUAAAACUAAUUGCAGAACCCUGUGCUAAUUCGCGAGAUGAAUCUAUUAAGCCUAAUUAAUCCAUCAUUAGUAAAUGGUUACUGUAGCACCACAUUAUCAAAUCAUGGACUAAUUAGGCUUAAUAGAUUCGUUUCGCGAAUUACACUCCAUCUGUGCAAUUAGUUUUGUAAUUAGCCUAUGUUUAAUACUCCUAAUUAGCAUUCAAACAUCCGAUGUGACGGGUGUUAAACUUUAACACUAUUGCCCGUGGUCUGACACUUCCGAGUCCGACUCCAUGUUGCUCCGCUCCGCGUCAGCCUUCAACUUCCGCUAGGUUCAUUUCCUACCGCCUCCCUCGUCACCGCCUCUGCGGCGAAUCCGACUCGAGGUCGCCGAUUCACUGCUGGCCCGCCGUUAUAAAUCCCAGCGCCCAUCGCUUCCUCGUCCAUCACAGCGAUCGCUUCCCAUCACCGCCCUGGCGCCCUGCGUUGUUCUCCCGUCCCUUCCAUCGUCUCCCACCAGCGCGAGUCCCACGGCGAUGGUCUGCUCGAUCGCCCCCGCCGCGCCUCACCAGAUGUUCCACCGGGCCGGUGCCGCUCCGCACCAGAUGAUGACGGCGGCGGCGCCCGCGCCAGAGGAGAUGCGUCUCUCGGACUUCGACUGGAUCGGCGACCUCGGCGCCGGCGGCUUCGCCAGGGUCAGCAAGGCUCGCCACCGCCGCACCGGCGCGGUGUUCGCGCUCAAGAUGUCGUACGACCCGGACCCCGACGUCGAGGAGGAGGCCGAGGUGCUCCGCCGCGCCGCCGGGUCGCCGCACGUCGUCGACUGCCACGCCCUGCUCCGCGGUCCCGCCGGCGAGCCCGCCUGCCUGCUUGAGUUCAUGGACGCCGGCUCCCUCUCCCGCGUCCUGCGCCGGCGCCGAGGGAAGGGAGGAUUCCCCGAGCCGGCGCUCGCCGAGGCGGCCGCGCACUGCGUCGUGGGGCUCGCCCAGCUCCACUCCCGCGGCGUCGCGCACCUGGACGUCAAGCCGGACAACCUCCUCGCAAACUCCCGGGGCGAGAUCAAGAUCGGCGACUUCAACACUUCCAAGAUCCUCUACGGCCGCGCCGGCGAGCACCUCCAGGUCCCCCUCACCGCCGGCACCCGCUGCUACUUCAGCCCCGAGAGGUUCGCGCCCAUAGCCCGCGCCGGGCCGCAGGGCGCCAUGGCCGCCGACGUCUGGGGCCUCGGCGUCACCGUCCUGGAGCUGUUCCUGGGCCGGUUCGCCGUCGUGCCGGAUGUGAAGAAGGCGUCUGCGGCGGAGCUGGAGCUGGCCAUCUGCCACGGGGAGCCUCUGCGCGUGCCGGAAGAAGCAGAGGCGUCGGCGGAGUUGCGCAGGUUCGUGGCCGCGUGCCUGCAGAGGGAGCCGACGCGGCGCGCCACGGUGCCGCAGCUGCUCGGGCACCCGUUCCUCACUGGCCGCGACGUCGAGGCGUCAAGGCGCGCGCUGCGGGACCUUAUCGUCGAGACCCUCUAGUUACAGGAGCUGGAGGAUGAUCUGUGUAAUAGGAUUACUGAGAUUAACUCUUUGUUGUUAUUUCAUUGAUGAUUGAUUGUAGUUUGAAUUCAGUUAACUGUGUUAUUCUUCCAAUCGGAUGGGAAAUUUUGUUAGCAACAAAAUUGGUUUUUUUUCUGUAACAAACAAUCAUGAUUUUUCACUUAACUGGAUGAGAAUUUUAACAUGUAAUGCAUGAUAGCCUCCGAGAAUUCUACAUUUCUACCUGUGGUUGAACUGCUUGACUGUAGCAUCAACUCAAUCAAAAAAGUUUAUAACAAAAUAAUCACAAGACGCAUUGCAACGUACUACUCUGUGCGUAGACAGCUCGAUCGAAUCCUCCUGUGUAUGAUACGCAGUUGCAUCGGACGAACGCGUUUAGCCGAACGACGAUAGAGCUUGGUGAGGCCAGGCAGCCAUGGCUUCAGCGAUGGAGGGUCGCGGUGCGCGCACCAAAGUCCAGUUUCGAGCACGCGCUCCAUCUGCUGCAUGUCGAACUCGCCGUUGACUCUGCGCUCGGCCGGCGCGUGGUGACGAACUCCAGGUCAAUGUACCCUACCGUCCCGGGCUGCCGGCGACGAUCCCAAAUCCAGCGCGAUCAUGUACGUUUCGUGACAACGAUCUGUCAAUUCCUUUUCACACUCCUUCGCAAAUUGUCGAACAACAAAAUUUUCAAGAGGAAAUAAUGGUUCACUACUACACUUGGUACCAAAGCCCCGUGACUCAUCGUGCCUAUAUACUUUAACUUAGUAUUUCUAUAUCAACAAUGAUAUAGAUUUAGAAUCAUAUAUUAGUUUAAUUUUGAGCAUUUUUGUAUAAUGCACAUGAAGAUAAUUAGAUCAAGAUUUAGGUGUUUAGUUUCGACAUACGUGGGUAACUUAGAUACAAAUUUAGAAUGACAUUUUAAGUUAUGCUUUUAUAAUCAUAUUCAUGAGUAAAUUGGAUGAAGGUUAUGGGGUUACUUUAUAUUAUUUUUUUUAUAAUGACAGAGCUCGGUAAUUUAUAUAUAGAUUUAGGGUUUAUUUUAGAAUAUUCUCAUAGGGAUAGUGGUGGGUAGUUUUUUUAUUUAAAAAAACAUAAUGGACCAAUGACUAUGAUUAUUAGAGUUUAUAGGAUUGAUGUUUGAUAUUUUUGAUUUUUGUGAGAAUUUCAAGGAUUUGUCUUUUUUUUUCUAGCGUGUCUCGUGAGAACUAAUGCGAAGUCUCCAAUGGAAAAAAUGAGGCUAUUGCUACAAAACUAUUAUCUUGAGAUACUUCUCAUUUGUUAAAUAUUUAAAAAUAAUACUUAUAUAGAUAUAUAUAUACUUAUUAUCUUCAUCCGAUUGUGAUAGAUUUAGUUAGUAAUACUAUAAUAUUUUCAUCCACAUAUAUAACCUUUAACUUUUCAUUUUGCAUUGUAGAUAUGCACUUGGAUUUGUUUGAUGUAAUUUUAACAUAGAAAUUUAUAUUCCUAUCACUUCCAAUAUAUCUUUAUAAAUGGUGACACACACAUCAUGUCUAUAUACCUUAAUUAUUAUAUCAGAUACCAAUAGUGUAAGAAAUACAUGAUUUAGAAUCAUACAUUUUUGCAUAUUUUUAAUUAAGGUGAUUUGGGUUCAAAUGUAGGGUUAGCUGAUGUUAUUUUUAAUAAUAGCAUAUGUGAGUAGUAUAGAUGCAAAUCUAAGAGUUACUUGAAGUUAUUUUUAAGUAUAAGUGGUGGGCAAUUUAGUUGCAAAUCUAGGGGUUAUUUUAAAUAUUAUCUAUAAUAGCCUGAGUGGGUAAUUUCGACGAAGAUUAGGGGGUUACCUUAGUUUAUUUUAUAUAAUGACAGAGGUGGGUAUUUUAAAUAUAGAUUUAGAAGUUAUUUCAAGUUAUUUUUAUAAUGGCAUAGGUGGGUAAUUUUUUAGAAAAUAUAAUUAGCUAUGAUAAUUUGAGUCUAUCCAAGAUAUUUUGCUAUUUUUUUUAGAAUUUCUAGUAUCUCAGGAUGCUGCUCCGGCUUCAAAAGGAGUUUCUCCGUAAAAAACAUCAUCAUUACGCGACGAUGUGGCAGGGCGGCGUCACACGGUCGCUAACCUCGAGGAAGCCCCUGAUUCAUGUAGGGCAAGGCUGACGCAAGGGUGCGAGGAUUAGGGAAUCCAGAGCAGUAAACUGUAGCAAGAGGGUGACGACCAGGCCAACGCAUUCACACGUAAAGCGGUAGGAUGGAUUGCCGGUCAACCCUUCCCACGACUGUGGGCCUCGCCGGUCCAUACUUGUAUCGCACAAGGAGACUCAACAACAAUAACUCACCAUAUGCACGUAUGCAAGACGUAGGAUGUUACUAAAAACUCUCGUGUGUUGAGUCUACACUUCUUAUAGCAUUUUUCGAUCUCACGCACGUACUAACCCCAGGCCAAAUCUUCAAAACGGGAUCCCACCGGAUGCUCGCUCUCGGUGCUUGAUGUAACACUCUAAUUUUCAAAUUAAAUUUUGUAAGAAUUCAAAAUUCUGAUAGAAACAUACUAGCUGCAGUUAGAAAUCCAGUAGGAGUCAUUGGCAGGAGUAGAAAAUAUUUUACAAAUGAAAUUGUUAAGCAAACUUAGGUUAUAAUCUUUCUUGAUGCAUUCAAGCCGUUGCAUUGUGUUCUUUGUAUGGAAAAUGAAUUUGGAAAAAAACCAUUUGCAAAGUUUCGAGUAAGUUCGUCUAUGCAUAAUUAGUUUCGGAUUAAGGUUUAAUCUCUGGAUGUAUUAAUCUAUACUAUAAAGAUCCAAAACUUUUGAAAACAUUUUUCACCUAACAAAAAACCUCCUACCCCUCACAUUGGUCCCACUUGCCAGGCUUCAGAAAGAGUGGAGGGAGAGCAUACCCAGAAAAAUCGAUAGUCAGUCUAUCUGUAUAUAUGUAUGUAUGUGUGUGUAUAUACACACACAUAAGGAUUCAAAACUUUUGAAAACACUUUUCAGCCAACUAGUAGAAAAAUAACCUUCCAUCCCCAAUAAAAAUCUCGGUUGUUCUUGAUCUGGGAUAAAAGAGGCUUUAGUCUCGGGUCUAAAUUUUGUAGUCCGUGGAGACACCUUUAGUCCCGGUGGUAACACCAACCGGAACUAACAGUUGGUACUACGAACCGGGACUAAAUGGUCCCCCAUAAGUUGCUACAAAAGGAUUGCAUCCCCUACUCAAUCAGAUGUGUUGUGUAGGUGAGAAGGUAGGAAAGCUACACGUGAGGCUUGAGGAUGUGGGUUCGAAUCCCAUGCACCGCACACAUGCAUAUUUUGCGUGAAAAAUCACGUGACUUGUGACCUGUGACGUGCGCGUGUGAGGAGCCUCGCGGGAAUUUAGAAUAUUUUUUUAGCGCAAAACCUUUUAGUCCCGGUUAGAUACUAAAGAUUUUUUUUAGAUUAAGGAAAUUAUCCAGUCUUGAACAUUCACAAGUGAAUGUCUACGACCACAAAGAAACAAAUCCGACCACCUAGUCCGAAGGUACAUGAUUACUUAGACUUCAUGCCUCAAUACGAGGAUCAAAGAAAAAUAAGAAAGCAAGCCACUAAGAAAGAAAGUUAAAAAGACUAAGCUUCAAACUUCUUCUAUGCUCUUACUUCCACCUAAUAAUGGACCUUGUGCAACGACUAAUCCCUCCCAUCUGUCAUUUUCUUAGAAACCCUAGAAGUUAGGAUGAUCUUGCUCGACGGCCAACUAUUUCCUGUUGUUUUCUUGUCACGUAGAAACUGUACUUAGUCAAUUUCUACCGUGCACACUAGCAGUACACUGAAACCGCCAUCC
rnacentral:lncRNA from 1 species